CCUCCACCGGUGCUUAUGUCGAUGUUGUAUGGCAAGGAUGAGACAAGCAAAAAUUUCCGUGCUUUAAUUAGAGCAUACAAUAUGAUGUUCUCAUUCACGUCGCUUGGUGGUCAAAUUGAUAAUUCCGUGAACCAUGGGAAUGCACCGUAUGUGUUUCGCAUGCAGGGUCAAAAUUAUCAUCGCAUCGGUGAACUUUUGCCUGGCCCUUCCAAAAGUCCUGCUUUCUCGCAGCUCUAUAUUCAUGAUACCGUAAACGAAGUCUCGAAUAGGAUGGGUGUUAUGGGGUGAGUUGUUUAUUGUAAUAUAUUUUUUAUAUUAUGUCCACGAAUUAAUUUCCGUUUUUUGUUGUUUUUAAUUGUUUUAGCGAGAAAGGACCGGGUAAGCAAAUAAAGAAGAGUAUCGUUAAGACUUUGAAGGAUAUGUUAGAUGCUAACAACCCACACGUCAUCGCGUUUAGAUCAGCUAGAGAUAGAUUAGCACAAUGUGAAGAUACCAGCGGCUUUAAGUUGAUUUUGAAAAAUCAUCGAGAUAGUGACGGUAGAGUCCAAAAUAUACCUACGACUGACGAGGUUGCUGGGCUUAUCGUGGGAGAUAUAAACCCUAAACCGCGUGAUGUAGUGCUUCAGGCUAAUUCUGGAGGGUUUCAGCGUAUAAGUGAGCUGCACCCAUCCUACCUCCCUCUACAGUAUCCUUUGCUUUUUCCUUACGGCGAGGAUGGAUUUAGGUUAGGUAUCGACAUUGGAUUCAUCGAUAAAGGCGGUCUAAAAAGAACAAAAGUGACGAUGAGAGAAUUCUUUGCGUAUCGCAUUCAAUCGAGACGAGGUGAAUCUCCUACUAUUGUUAUGUCCAGGAGAUUAUAUCAGCAGUUCCUGGUUGAUGCGUAUACGAUGAUCGAAAGCAACAGGCUUCGUUAUUUGUUUUUUAACCAGAAAAAUCUCCGCUGUGAAAGCUAUUCGCAGAUUCUUAAAGUUUCUAAGAAAGGAAAUAAAAAUCUUUCCAGAGAAGGUAAUAAAGUUAUGAUACCAUCUUCUUUCACCGGAGGGCCUAGGUACAAGACGCAGCAUUAUCUUGAUGCGAUGGCUACUUGCAAGUAUUAUGGCUUUCCUGAUCUAUUUAUCACUAUAACUUGUAAUCCUGCGUGGCCCGAGAUUACUAGGUAUCUGGAAAAAUACAACUUAAAACCCAAGGAUAGGCCCGACAUCUGUUGUAGGCUUUUUAAGCUGAAACUCGAUAAUCUCAUUCAUGAUCUUACCCAUAAUAAGAAGCUGGGAACUGUCUCUUCUGGUAAGAUUGACCAAACUUUUAUAGCGAUAUUUGUGUCUCGCAUAAAUUAUGUGUUAUUAUUAUAUAUAUAGAAUUUUAGAAUCUUAAAUUUUUAACCUCUUAUUCUGUAAUUUCUUGUAUAUUUUACAGUUUUAUACACGAUUGAGUUCCAGAAAAGGGGUCUACCACACGCACAUAUGGUCCUGUUCCUAGCUCCAGGAUCAAAACUUCCAACUACUGAUGAUAUUGAUAAACAUAUUAGUGCAGAAAUUCCUGAUCCAGAGUUAGAGCCGUUUUUGUAUGAAGUUGUAGCAGAUAUGAUGGUGCAUGGUCCGUGCGGAGUUGUUAAUCCCGGCUGUCCGUGUAUGCAAAAAGGCAGAUGCACCAAAUACUACCCUAGGCCUUACAGUGAUCAGACUAAGGUUGAUGACGAGGGGUAUCCUAUUUAUAGACGGCGAGCGGAUGGCAAAUUCAUCGUGAAGCAAAAAUUUAAUGUCGAUAAUAGGUACAUCGUUCCAUAUAACGCUUAUUUAUCGAAAAGGUAUCGUGCUCAUAUUAAUGUCGAGUGGUGCAAUCAUUACGAUCUAUCAAAUAUCUCUUCAAGUAUAUCCACAAAGGACCCGAUUAUAUCAGAGCAAAAAUACAAAAGGACGGUCAAGAAGAGGAAGUCCAUGACGAAAUAAAACAGUAUUAUACAUGCAGGUGCCAAAUGAGACUAAUUGUUUAUAAAAUGUUAUGUUAUCGUCUUAGACUAAAUACUGUUGUUGGGAGUUUUGAAAUUAUUGCCUCAUUCUCAUUAUUUUUUAUGUCGUUUCGUUUAUAGGUAUAUAUCUGCAUGCGAGGCCACUUGGAGAAUAUUAGCUUUUGCUACACAUUACCGGUCUACACCAGUAGAAAAACUUACAUUUCAUCUUCCUGGUGAAGAGGUCAUUGUUUUCGAUCCGAAUGAUCCUGUUGAUGAGGUUAUAAGUCGUAAAUCUAUCGGCCGUACAAUGUUCUUGGCUUGGAUGGAAUGUAACAAAGCGUAUCCAGAAGCCAGAGAAUUGACAUAUGCGGAUUUUCCAUCUAAGUUUGUUUGGAAAAGCAGAGAGCGUGUCUGGAAACCCCGAGUAAAAGGAUUCUCGAUAGGAAGGAUUAUGUAUGUUUCUCCUUCCCUUGGAGCCAAGUAUUAUCUAAGGCUCCUGUUAAAUUCUGUGACAGGUCCUACAUCUUACGAUGACAUCAAAACGGUAAAUGGCAUUAUAUAUCCUGAGUUUGUUGAUGCUUGCAAUGCACUGGGGUUGCUCGCAGACGACCGAAUAUUUAUAGAUGCUAUAAAAGAAGCGAGUUAUUUCGUGAAAGGUUUACCCUUGCGAAAAUUAUUUGUGAUGAUGAUCGUCGCCGGAGAUAUAGUAAAUCCUUUGCGAGUUUGGGAGGAGACUUGUGAUCUACUGUCGGAAGGUAUCUUAUUCGAACGUAGAAAAGUGUCGAGGAAUCCGGGUAGGUGGAUCAUUUCUAUUGUUUAUGAAAUAUAUAUAGCUGUCUUAUUAAUUGAAUAGUAAUAAUAACAUGUUUCGUGUGGUUUGCAGCUUUGACGCUUUCUGAUAAACAAAUAAAAAAUUUCACGUUGGCGUCUAUUGAACUCUUGCUGCGGGAUAACGGGAAGACUCUGUCUACUAUCGAAGGAUUUCCGCAGCCGGAUGAUAUAUCUCUUGAUACGAGUACAAAUCGGCUGUUGUUGGAUGAGCUUGGUUAUAACCACGAAAAAGAAGCGAAAGAACACGUGAGACUCCUAGCCACGAUAACGGAUGAACAAAAAGUAGUUUACGAUGAAGUGAUGAAGGCAGUUUUAGAUAAAAAAGGCGGUGUCUUUUUUCUAUAUGGAUACGGGGGCACAGGCAAAACGUACGUCUGGAGUAUUUUAUCGGCUGCUAUAAGGUCUAUGGGACUUAUUGUUCUUAAUGUAGCAUCGAGCGGGAUAGCCUCUUUGCUGAUGCCUGGAGGUAGAACUGCACAUUCAAGAUUUUCGAUACCUCUAACGGCUGAUGAAUUUAGUAUGUGUGCGAUGAAACCAUCAUCCCAUCUCGGUGAGUUGGUAAAACAGGCUAGCUUAAUUGUAUGGGAUGAGGCUCCUAUGAUGAGCAGACAUUGUUUUGAGACGUUGGAUCGUAGUAUUCGGGAUGUUAUGAGAUGUAAUACUGAUCGGCCGUUCGGCGGUAAAACAAUUGUCUUUGGAGGAGAUUUUAGACAAAUAUUGCCAGUAAUCAGUGGUGCAGGUAGAGAGGAAACCGUUUUGGCCACUAUUAAUUCGUCGUAUAUCUGGGAAAGUUGCAGGCUGUUGAGGCUAACCAAGAACAUGAGACUUUUAGAUGGUAAUUCGGAUGAUGCUGCACAGGAACUCAGAGAUUUUGCAAAAUGGAUUCUUGACAUAGGAGAUGGUACGAUCAACGUUACAGACGAUGGCGAUGCUGAUGUGGAGAUUCCUGAUGAUUUGCUGAUUUCUAAAUGUGGUGAUCCUAUCAAAGCCAUCGUACAUAAUGUUUAUGGGUCAACGUUGGUCAAGGAUAAGGAACUUUCUUUUUUCCAAGAAAGGGCUAUUCUUACUCCGAGAAAUAAUGACGUGUGCGUGAUCAACGACUAUGCGCUAUCACACAUGGAAGGUAGAAAAUUAAUGUUAAAACUUUUAUAUAUUGAUUUAGAGUAUGUUUACUGUUGUUUAUUAUUUUAGUUUGAUAGUGGAUUUAAUGUUGUUUAUUAUUUUAAUUUUCAUUCAUGUUGACGCCCCGGGGUUGUUAGGUGAAGAGAGAGUCUAUCUUAGUUGCGAUAGUAUUGAAUUAUCGGAUGCGGACAAAAGAGAUAAUAUGGUUUAUACACCCGAGUUUUUAAACAGCAUCAAAGUCUCGGGGUUGCCAAAUCACAGGCUGGUAUUGAAAGUCGGAGUUCCAAUCAUGGUUCUACGGAAUAUUGAUCCUAAGAAUGGACUUUGUAAUGGUACAAGAUUACAAGUGACUCAGUUAGCGAAUCAGGUUAUAGAAGCUAGAAUUAUUACUGGUACGAGAGUUGGAGACAUAGUUGUGAUUCCUAAAAUGUACUUGAGUCCCACCGAGACGAGGUUCCCAUUUAGAAUGAAACGUUGUCAGUUCCCGAUUGCGGUUGCUUUCGCAAUGACGAUUAAUAAAAGUCAAGGUCAGACUUUGACUAAUGUAGGUUUGUAUCUACCUAAGCCUGUCUUUUCGCACGGGCAAUUGUACGUUGCACUUUCGAGAGUCACAUCCAGGAGAGGCCUCAAGAUACUGAUAACAGAUGAUAGGGGACAGCCUCAAAAGACUACUAAAAAUGUUGUUUAUCACGAAGUAUUCCAGAACAUUCGUUAGUUUGAUUCUAGGAUUUUUCUCUCCUUUUACUACCUGUUUUGGGCUUUCAGCUUACGACAAUUUUUUUGUUUUAAUUAUAUUUUUUAUAAUACAUUUUGGGUUUUAAAUAAAAGGAAAUUCCAUCGGAUAUUGCCAUCUUUAAAUAAAAAUGCUAAGAAAAUAAAAUGGAAAAUGUCACGCAAAAUGUUAUUAAACAAAAAAAGGGUUGCGACGGUACGUGUCUUGACAAAGGAAGGAAAAUCGAACAUAAAAACAAAAGGGCUGCGACGUUUCAUUGUCUAGGUUAGUUCCCUAUAUAUACUUAGUUGUUAAGCGUUCUUGUGGGCAGACCAUUAUCUUACGCCGCAUAACGAAUUUUCGCAUAGGAGCAGAUAUGUCUUCUCGGUUCACAUCGUCUUCUAUUGAACGUUACAACGAUUUCUCUCGGUUGAACCCUGCAAUUGUUGGAUGGCAUGUUCACGUUAAGGUUUUGCGUCGCUUCCACACCGAUGACUAUAUAUCGAAGGGUGGGCUAGGGUUACUUCUGGUUGAUGAUAAGGUAUUGGUUCGAAAUAAGAUUUGGCUUUUCUUUAGAUAUGUAUUAGCCUUUGUUGUUAUGGAUGUUUGCGGUUUCCCGACUUUUGUGAUUUUGGUUUUGUGAUGCAGGGUAAUCAGAUCGAAGCGCUUAUUUGUUCGCCGUUGACUUUUCAUUAUUCAACGUUUAUUGAAGAAGAUGAAUUCUACGCUAUUAUGAAUUUCAGAGUUGUGGAGAAUUCGGGAUUCACUAAACUAACAAGGAGUGACUUUAAGAUAAUGUUUUAUGAUGGUACUAUCGUUAAAGAAGCGUCUUCGUUUUCUCAAGAUGACUAUAUUGUCGCUACACCUUUUGGUGCUAUUUUCAAUGGAUAUCAUGAUACUUCUUAUCUCAUAAGUAAGUUUUGUUUGUUAUGCUUUACAGAACGUUCAGCGGUUUUAGUUAUUUAUUUUCCUUAUGUAGAAAUCUUGAUAUUUGCUUGUAGCUUUGAUUGGGCGGGUCGUCGAGUCGAGUGAUCUUACGAACGUGACCGAUGAACCAUCUGUCAUAGGGGGAUACAGAUACUCAUUCACCAUUGAAGAUCAAGAGUACGAUUUCUUUCAUCGUUGGUUAUUUGAAAUUACAAUAUAAUAUAUUUAUUGAAAUCAUGAUAUAAUAUGUUUAUCGAUUCACAUACAUUUUUAUUUUGAUUAAUAAAUAGGAAGAAGACCCUCAAGUGUUGUGCAUAUGGAGGAGUGGCGAUAGAGUGCCAUGAUCGGUUUAGAAAUGUGAUUGGUACGGAUGUUACGUGUGUUCUUCGCUGGUGGAAAGUUUAUCAACUCCUUGAUGGAUGGAGGCACGUUCGUAUCUACAGCCAUCCCCCCUACUCGAAGAUUCUGGUCCAGAGCGAUGCCGAUAACGUCGAGCACUCUUGAUAAAUUAGUAUUUAUCAUAUUUAAUAUGUGCUUUAUUUGUUUCCUUAGAUUAUGCAAUGUUGCGUUUGGUUUUAAAUUAUGACAUAUUACUUAUUUUUUAUUAUUAUUAAUAGAAACUAUCUUAUUAUGAAAGAUGCACUUUGUUAUGUACCGAUACAGUGAUAUCUUUGGUAAAUAUUCACUUCUUAUACUUUAUGCAAAAAAUCCCCCCCCAAAAAUAGUAAAUAUGUUAGAUUUAGCUAAAAUUGAAAAAUCUGCAAAAUAUUUUCGAAUCUCUGUUUAAGACUUAUUACUUUUUUAUACUUCUGAUAAUUCCGAAUCUAAUGUUAAAUAAUUGGAAAAUCCGGAUCUAUAUAUAUAUAUAUAUCGAUUUAUACUUGGCUUCGGUGUUUAUAACCACCAGGAUCGAUGGAAUCGUUUAGAUGUCAUGGGUGGCCUUUUGACGUUAUGACCUAUAACAGAAAUAUGUUCACUAUAUCAUCUCUGAAUCCGUUGAUCCAUGAAUGGAGUACUUGUGUUAAGAUUUUGCAUGUUUGGCACGAACUCGACGAUGUUAGUAAUGCACUAAACCUUAUUUUGAUGGAUAAUCAGGUUGGUAAUUCUUCAAAAUAAACUGUAAUCGGUAUUUGUGUUAAGAUUUUGUAUUGAGAUGUUUUAAUGUUUUGUAAUUAAAUCAGGGUACGAAAAUCCGAGCCGUCAUUCGCGAAAGUUUGGUAACUAGGUUUUCGCCAUUACUGAUUGAGGGUCUCUGGAUGAUAUUAAGAAAAUUUUCGUUAAUCCCUGAUGUCGACUUAGUCAGAACUACUCCACAUAGAUUCAAGAUUCAGUUCUCUCCUGAUACAUGUGUCGACUAUCUUAAUUACCUCGCAUGUGAUUAUGAUUUCUUUAACUUUGCGAGAUUUCGUGAUAUUCGUACGGGUAUAAGUAACCCGUAUAUCUGUGUAGGUGGGAUUAUAUUCGUUUCUCUUCUGGUUAGAUUUUUCCCAUAACUACUCUAAUCAUUACGUUGUAUUGUUUUCUUUAGAUUUGGUCGGGGUUGAUAAUGUGAAUGACAUACAACUCGUGCAGAUGGUGGGCUCUUCGAAAGAUAUUUCUGUGGUUUAUUUUGACCUAAUUGAUACAGAGUAUUGAUUCUUAGUCUUAUACAGAUAUAUAAUUUUGUUUUCUCUCAACGAAUUUGUCAUAAUAAUGUCAACUUUGGUAUAAAUUUGUAGGCAUACGCGUUUGAGUAUCAGACUGACCGGUGAAACCGCCGUUAGAUUUCAUAGACAGUGGAAAGUUAACACCGACGAUGUCGUGAUUUGUAACAUCAGAUUUGCCAAGAUAGUGGCUACGUCUAAUCGUAUGUGGCAUUGCACAAACAUUGGUUGCUCUAAAAUUAUGGUGGAUGCUCCGCUGCCUGGUGUUGUAGAACUAAAAGAAUGUGGGCUGAUUACUGCGGGAGUCCUAGGACGGGGGUCAAAGAAGCUCGAUUGGCCUAAUUUUGUAUGAUUCUGUAUUUUUCGUUUGGGUGGUUUAUUUUCAGUUUACUGAUUACAGAGUCGGCAUUUGUAAUCGGUUUUAACAUUUCGAAAGAUUGUUAGACAUUUCGCUUUUAGUGAGUUUUGGUAAUUUAAUCUAAACUUAAUUUAUUAAUCUUAUGGAUAAAUUCUAUAUCGUUUAAUCAAUAUUCGGUUUUGUUAAUUUUCUGAUUUAGUUUUUAAUAUAAGAAUUUUCCAUUUUGUAUUUCGGACCGUUAGAUCGAGCUAAAAACAACCAGAUAAAAACUACAACCAUCCGAUCUUAACUUUGACACUUACCUCUGCCUUCCCUAUUAUAAUAAUCAACUUUAUUUACGAGCGUCAAAUUAACAUCUUAUUAGACGCGAGUAAUAUUGGCCGUCCGAUCAACACGUGUCUAUAAAAAACAUGGGCCAGUCCAUUAAUCUCUUUGAAAUCAUGGUCCAUUCGUUUAUAUAGUCGGGCUUUGGGAUCAAUUAGUUCGGGCUUUGAUACAUUUGAUCCCCGUCGCCGUCCGAUUGAGAUCUCCUCUCAUUCUCUACCGUCUGAUUUGGUUACUAACAUGGUCAAACCUUAUUAAAGAAUGUACUACUUUCCAAAAUACAAAAUAAGAUAAUAAGUAUAUUUCUAUAUUUAUAUAAAAUAGUAUGUAGAUCCAUAGUAUAAAAUCGUAAAUUUUCUUCUUACAAAUGUAUAUAUAUAGUGUUAUUUCGUUUUUGUAUUAGCGAUGAUAUCGUAUAAUAUCGUUGUUAGACGUAUCCAUUUAGGUAUAUUUAACUUAUAUUAUGCGAUAAAUACAGAAAUAUUCCAAACAAUUUUGAUUUGUAAUUGUCUAGAUAAUGGCAGAUCUCUAUAUUUUUCUUAAACCAUAACAAACUGUACAACAUGCUCUUCUUCUAUAAAUACUGAUUGUGUCAUGGUCGAAAAUUGUAGACAUUCGUUUAUAGUUGUUGUAAAAGUUCUACAAUGAAAUAUACGGUUAUAAUUUAUGCUCUGUUUACUGUGUAGUAUUGUUUCUGUGUGAUUUGUUUUUUAUUGUUCGUAUGAUUGGUAUCUAAUAUGGUUAAUUUAAUUACUGGAAUAGGGAUCCGGAUACGGUGAUGGGGUCCUUUCUCAAUUUCUGGUACGUAUUGAUUGUUUAAAACUAACUGUUUCUUAUGAGUUUAUAUACUAAUUAUUAUUUCUUAUCUAACAUUAAUUGAUAAUUGUAUUAUUAUCUUAUUUACAAGGAUGUUACAUCCGAUUCUUCGUGUAUCUCUGACGUCGAGGUAUAUAUUCCUUUGAUCAUGUGUGUUAGUUUUUUCUUUUUGUUUAUUCUUUUAAUCUUUUAAAUCUAACUUUUAUAUUUGACGUUUAUACACAGGAAAACGUCAAAGAGGUAGGCUACAAACAUGUUUGUUUCGUCUCCAUGUUGAUAGCGAAUUCGUAUUCUCAUACAAAUAGUUUUAAUACAUUGUUUCUUUCUUAUGUAGUAUCUCGAUGAUGUGUCUGCUGCAGUUGAUCUUUCUUCUGUCCUGGUAAAUAUCUGACACGGUCGUUAAUUAGUAACGUUUUUAUCGUCUCUAUAUAUUGAUGUUAACAACACAAUGUUGAAUUUUAUAUUUAUUUGAAUUCCUAGCAUGUCGAGGCCAGUGCUGCAGUUCUAUCGUUAGAUGAGGUAAUUAUUGAAUUACUUGGUUACUAUGUAGUUGUAUAUUAUUAAUAUAUAAUGUAUGAUUCAACUACUUUAUCUUUAUCUAACGCUAUACUGUUUGUAAAUAACAAGUUCAAGGAUGUGCUUUCGGAUCUAGGUGCAUUGUCGGCCGAUAAAGAUUACGUUUUGGCUGUACUUUACCUGGUAUAUUAUUAUUGGGUUUUUAUUUAUAAUAUUACGCAUUUUAUUCCUAUUUAUACUCUAUAUAUAUUGACAAAUUAUAAUCCGUAAAUAUUGACAAAUAUACUAUAGGAAUCUCGGACACAGUUGAAGUCUCUAUACUUGAGAUAUCUUUUGUCCAGAUAUCUACAGGUUGGUAUAUGUUGUCAAUUUUUAUAUUCGAUAUGUAUGUUUCGAAGCUUAAACAGAAAAAUAAAAAGAAAAAAACUUAUAUCUUCGUUGAUUUGUAUAGGAGGCAAAAUCAUUGGACCCUCUGAUGCAGACUAAAAAGGUUAAUUGGUAACUCUAUAUAGUGUGCAGUUUGAUUUAUUAUUUGGUAACAUUCGUUCCGAUUUACGUGUUUGAUAAAUGUUGGUAAUAUAAGUUAUAUUGCUUAUACUUUAUUUUGUAUAUCUUCCAGAAUUAUGCUGACUUGCGCAUGAAGUAUUUUGGUGAUGGGGUGAGAUAAUUUAUAUCUAUCUUACUAAUAGUUGAUGUACAUAUAUUAUAUAUAUAGUCAGUUUGUAUUCAUGUAAUAAGAUACUAAUGUGUUGUCUAUUAUUAUCUUGAAGCGUUUUGUUGCUGCUGGUAUGAAGCCAUACCCGUCUGACGGUCUUGAGUGUGAUGAGAUUUUAAUGAAUACCAAUGAAGAUACUCUUGAGUGUAUUAAUGAUAUUGUCAUCAGUAGUUGGCGUUUAUGCCCGGCGUAUCUACGCCUUCGUUUUGUUGAAUCGUUGAUACUCUAUAAAAGCAUUAAUGUCCACACGGUAUGGGACGCUUGCUAUCGAGUUUUGAGUGGUGAUGUGUUGGCUGAACAGAAAAUCGCGCGUAAUAAUCCUGGUAUUAAUCUAUCAUCAAUACUAAAUACUUAUAGAUGUUGUUUGACUUGAUAGUUGUGUCUCAAAAAGGUGUUGCUUUUUAUUACACUAGGGUUGGAGUUAUCCGAUGUGCAAUUAGAGUGGUAUGGUUUUCGUGUUAUGCGUAAGGUGAUGGGUGAUCUUGGAUUCCAUCAUGCCGGUUUUGAAGGUGUGCGUCUUGGUAUAGUUCGCCGACUCUUAACUUACAAAUGUGAUGACAUGUCAAUGUGAUAUUGGCCUAGAUUUGUUAUCGUUGUCUUGGUUUUGCUUUAUCGGUGUUAUAGUUUCGGUAUUGGUUUAUUAUUCCACCUAAUACUAUCAAUAUAAUAGUGUCUUGGUGUUAUUUAUUUUAUCAUUUUAUCGUUAUGGGAAUUAUUAACCUUUCUGAUUUAUUAUUUAUGAAUUUGUUAUUUUAAUUGGGUUUGUUCUUUCUUGUGUAUUUAAUAUGAUUAUCGACUAUAUCAUGUUCGUAAUGCGAAUUAUAUACGAAGUACCGCGUAAUCCAUAAUUUUUAACUACAUGUAUUUGUUGCUGUAUCACUUUUUCUAAGAUAUUCAUUUAUAACUUUUUCUAGAAUAUUUCUGUUUAUGCGUAAUUUUCUUUGAUAGUUGAACAAUAAUGCGUCUGUGUUUGCUAUCAUUGUUACAAAGACUUAGAACUUCCGACGACUGUUAUCAUGUUUCUCGACACAUAGACGAUGCGUGUAGGUUAUCAUCGCUUAUCUCUUCUGUAAUUUUUUUUAUUAUGUUCGUAUCCGGUAAAAAUUGAAUGGGAUUAACUGUACUGUUUUGUAGUAAUAACUAGAAAAUAACCAGUUGCGAUUUGACGUCGUCUGUACCGUAUUUUAUAGUUCGAUAUAUCUACUUGCUUUUAGAUAUUCCGUUUCAUUUUAAUAUAUACUCUCUCCUCUGUUUUAUUAUUAUUAUUCACGCUAUUAUAUAUAAGCAAACCAAACAAAAAGAACAAAAAAAAAAAAAAAAAAAAAAACAACUACUACAUCAACACGCCCGAAAAGAAAGAAAAAAAUAUUAUUUUAUCGCGAUUGUUAUGGAAAUCGCGUGUAAUAAUAAACAAAAUCUCUACAAUUAGGGAUACUGUUAUGAUAUGCAUCGAUUGUGAUAAAUACUAAAUUGACACUUUUAAUAGUUACAAUUUUAUUUAUAUAGUAUAGUUUCUGGAUAUGCGUUAUAGUUCUAUAUAUAUUUCGCUUUAGUGAGUUUUUGUAAUUUAGUCUGAAAGAUGUUAUAUGAUAUUAGUUAAAAACUCUGUUGAGGUGACAUACAUGAUACAUAACUUGUCAUUGGUUAUAGUUUUUUUGUAUUACUCAUUCAAAAAAGUUGUUUCUCAAAAUGCAUCGUGUGGUUUUGGUUUCCGUCGUUAGGUAAAAUGGAACUUUAUUUGCGUCCCUAAUAACUUACACCAUUUGUAUAUAUUAUUAUUAUGGUGUUGAUAAUGGGGUUAUUACGAGAAUGAGCAUUUAUUAGGUCAAAAGUUUGAUUUUAGGUUUUUCUAUCCCGACUUGCAUAUUUAGGUAUUUUUGGAUUUAGUUAAAUGACAUUUUUGCCCCUACUGAAUUAAAUGGAAUUUUGGAAAAAUUUAAAAAUUUGACAAUUCUUCUCCGGUGGAAUUAAGAAGAAAAGCGUCUUGGACACCUACAGUCGCUGGGCUGAGCUACCGGAGAAUCCGCCUCCAACCGCCGCAUGCUUCCUCCUUCCAGAUCUAUCCCACCGUCUCGCUAUUUACCCUAUGGCAACUUCGAUUUUUACUUUCACGACACACAGUCCACCGCCCGUCGAUGUGGAGUGGAAGCCAUUGGGUUUGCGGAGGUCUUGGGUUGCUCACUUGUGGCGGAUCUGUUGCCGCUUGAAGACGACGGCACGAUCUGCUCUCCGAUUCGCCGCCAACAUCAUCUCCGAUCCGAAACACAAAACCUCUCCUCCGCCAACACCAUCUCCAAUGAGUUGGAUUCAACUAAUUCUUUUUGAAUAACAAAAAAUAAACCCUAAGGGGAUAGUAUCCUCUAAACCCAAGGGCUCCAAUUGAAAUAAUUGUCAAAAUUAGGAUCUGGGUUUCCAUAAUCUUCAUGUUGGUAAGUGAAGGAGAAAGCUUAAAGUUUUUGUCGUUCACAAAAAAAAAAACAAUUAUUUUUGCUUCAAUUGGUGACAAGGGUAAAAACGACUUUUCCGAUGUUUGAGGAAUGCUUAAAACAGAAGUAUGGGCAAAUAAACCCAAACUGAUAAGUUUGACUGAAAAAAGUACCGAUCCGGUAAUUAACUCUGUUGAUAAUAGAGUGAUAUUUUUUACCCUUAAGUUUCGUUAGUAUAUAUUUCAGUUUAACUGUUGAGAUUUGGUUUCUUUUUUAAAAACUUAAUUUAUUAAUUUUAUGGAUAAAUUCUAUAUCGUUUAAUCAAUAGUCGUUUUUGUUAAUUUUCUGAUUUAGUUUUUAAUAUAUAUUUUCCAUUUUUAUGUUCUUUCCAAAUAAUCGUUAGGUCUACAUAUAUGUAUCCCGCAUUUAUACCUCAUUGGAAUAUUUACCCGCGUAAUCUUUUGUUAUGGGUUCUACAAUGAUACCUUUUACAUCUGAUUCAUGUGAUGGUGGUUAUUUUCGUAUUGCGUCUCUUAACCCUAACAUAGGUGAGUGGUCUGUCUCGGUGAAGAUUUUGAAUUGUUGGUCUGUUUCGCGUGGCACGGGUAGAGAGCUCAAUAUGAUUUUGGGUGACGAGCAUGUUAGUUUUUUGAUAACUUACCUGCUAUACAUGUUUUCGAUAUUAAAUUGAAUUGGUUUUGUCUUUGACAUUUUAUUUGCAGUUCACACAAAUCCAAGCCGUUGUUCGUGAUGAAUUAAUUGAUAAUUAUCUUUCAAGAUUGAUAAUCGAUGAGUGGGUGAGCAUUAAAAAUUUUGAUGUAUCACGGGUUAACAGCAUAUUGAGACCAGUACCGCAUAGAUUCAAGAUUGUGUUUCGUUCGGACACUUUAGUGCAAAGUAUUAAUAUGUGCUCCAGUAGGACCUAUUUCAAUCUAACUGAGUUUGUGAGUAUAUUGAGUGGUAUUGUUAAUCCGAAUAUUUGCGUUGGUAAGCCUAAUUUAUAAAUUUAUUUGUGCUUUUGGAGUUUAUUUGCGGUUCAUGUUCUGACUGUAUUAUUCAUGUGUGUGUUUCAUAGAUGUUGUUGGCAAAAUUGUCAACGUGAGAGAGUUGGUUUUUGUUCCUUCCGUGGAACAUUCUCAAGGAGGAUAUUUUGAGCUGUACUUUGGUUUACGUGAUACUGAGUAAGUCACUAUUCUUUUAAAGAUUUAAACCAGAAUAUAAUGUCUUAUGACUUCUUCAAAUCUUAAAAUUAGGUGUAUCCAUCUAGAGUGUCGUUUAACGGGUGACCUUGCAGUCGAGUUCUAUGACUUAUGGAAGCAUCGUUCACGUAACACAGUGAUAUGUAUUAUCAAGUUUGUGAAAUUAGAACUAUCACAGGAACAUAGGUGGAGAUGUACCAAUGUUACCGGAAGUACGAGGAUUAUGUUGAAUCUGGAUCUCAGUAUUACCGACGAGAUGCUUUGUUGGUAAGUAUUUUUUUUUCCGUUUACAAUCAAAACUCUAAAGUUGGCGACUGGACAUUCACUGUUUAUGGUGUUCUUAAUCGGAUGUCAGGAAUCCUGAAAAUGACCAAGUACCAAUCAUCACACGGAAGGAGAAUGCCAUGGAGUGAUGAUGUUCGUUGAUUUCUUAUUUUGUUGGUAAAUGAUUUUAAAAGAUGAUUUAUUAUUAUUUUUUAGCAUUUAUAAUAUUAUUGAAUUUUUUAAAUUUCAUCAUUUUCCAUAAUUUUACCACACUAAAUCCUAAACAAUUUACCAUUUUUUUCUUACACUACCAAGUAACACCUAAACAAUCCCUUAUUUCACAUGAUUUUACCAUUUAUACAACAUUCUUCCCGCGCAUGCGCGCGGGCAAUCACCUAGUUAAAUCAUAUUUAUGUAGAAAGAAUCUCACUUUGAUAGUCAAUCACUUUGUGCGCGAAGAAAUUUGACGAAAAGGGUUACAAAAAAAUGGAUUUUUGACGGUUUUUUUUUUUUUUUUGGUAGGAAUGGAUUUUUGACGAUUGAUUAUAAACGUUUAAUUUUUUAGUAAUAUUUUUGAGUUCUCACUUCUUCUUCUUCUUCUUCUUCUUCUUCUUCUUCUUCUUCUUCUCGUAAAACCCUAAUUCUUGAUUUGGCUAUGGAGUCCGUCGAAUUGAACAAUCCCAACCCCAAUUCGCAAACCCUACAUCAACCUCCUCCUUCCUCCAACGGAGACACUGCUCCACUCGCAUCGGAUCAUAUGAAUCCUCAGAAUUCGGAUUCUGUGGCUUUAAACGGUUCGUCUACUCCUACACCCGAUACUAAUGGUUCAUCAGCAAAGCCUGAGUUCUUGCGUCCUUUGCUAUCGGAGAACGAUAAGGAUCAGUCUGGUGGAGAGGAAGAAACUACGAGCAGGAGGAAGCGUCGGAGCCGGUGGGAUCCUCCGCCUUCUGAAGGGGGUACUGAUUCCGAACCUGGAAUUAGGAAGCGUAAGUCGCGAUGGGCAGAUGAUGAGCCCAAGCCGCAGAUUCAGUUACCUGAUUUCAUGAAGGAUUUCACCGGAGGUAUUGAGUUCGAUCCUGAGAUUCAGGCUUUGAAUAGUAGGUUACUUGAGAUUAGUAGGAUGUUGCAGUCUGGUAUGCCUUUGGAUGAUAGACCGGAAGGACAGAGGUCUCCUUCACCAGAGCCUGUGUAUGAUAAUAUGGGAAUUAGGAUUAACACUAGAGAGUAUAGAGCAAGGGAGAGAUUGAAUAGAGAAAGACAAGAAAUCAUUGCUCAGAUUAUCAAAAAGAAUCCGGCUUUUAAACCUCCAGCAGAUUAUAGGCCUCCUAAGCUCCACAAGAAGCUUUUCAUUCCAAUGAAGGAGUUUCCUGGUUACAAUUUUAUUGGUCUCAUUAUUGGCCCCAGAGGUAAUACUCAGAAGAGAAUGGAGAGGGAGACGGGUGCUAAAAUUGUUAUUCGGGGUAAAGGAUCUGUAAAAGAAGGUAGGCAUCAGCAGAAAAAGGAUUUGAAAUAUGACCCUGCUGAGAAUGAAGACUUGCAUGUUUUAGUUGAGGCUGAGACUCAGGAUGCUCUUGAAGCUGCUGCUGGUAUGGUUGAGAAGCUUUUGCAACCUGUUGAUGAAGUGUUGAACGAGCACAAGAGGCAACAGCUCAGGGAACUUGCUACCUUGAAUGGAACAAUAAGGGAUGAAGAAUUCUGUAGACUGUGUGGUGAGCCAGGACAUAGACAGUAUGCAUGUCCUUCUCGUACCAAUACCUUUAAGAGUGAUGUUCUUUGCAAGAUUUGUGGUGAUGGUGGACACCCUACUAUUGAUUGCCCGGUGAAGGGUACUACUGGGAAGAAAAUGGAUGAUGAAUAUCAGAACUUCUUAGCAGAGUUGGGAGGAACUGUACCUGAAUCUUCUCUCAAACAGAGUGCUACCCUGGCUCUUGGUCCGGGAAGUAAUCCUCCAUGGGCUAAUAAUGCAGGGAAUGGUGCAAGUGCGCAUCCUGGCUUAGGGUCAACUCCGACCAAACCCCCCUCCAAAGAAUAUGACGAAACAAAUCUGUACAUUGGGUUCUUACCUCCGAUGCUUGAGGACGAUGGUUUGAUUAAUCUUUUUUCAUCCUUCGGUGAAAUUGUGAUGGCAAAGGUAAUCAAGGACCGUGUGACUGGGCUGAGCAAAGGCUAUGGUUUUGUGAAGUACGCUGAUGUGCAGAUGGCUAAUACUGCUGUUCAGGCAAUGAAUGGCUAUCGGUUCGAAGGCCGAACACUCGCUGUCAGGAUUGCAGGCAAAUUGCCACCGCCUACUGCACCUCCAGGACCUCCAGCACCAACUCAAGGUUAUCCUCCCUCAAACCAGCCUCCUGGUGCCUAUCCUUCUCAACAGUAUGCAACUGGUGGUCAACUGCCAAAUCCUCCUGUAGGUUAUUCGACAGCUCCAGUUCCUUGGGGUCCUCCUGUUCCCUCCUAUUCUCCAUAUGCUCCUCCCCCUCCACCUCCUGGUUCUUACCAUCCUGUCCAUGGUCAACAUAUGUCUCCUUAUGGAAUGCAAUACCCACCACCACCACCUCAUGUGACACAAGCACCUCCACCUGGCACUACUCAAAACCCAUCUUCUAGUGAACCCCAGCAAAGCUUCCCACCAGGAGUACAAGCUGACAGUGGUGCUGCUACGUCUGUACCACCAAAUGUCUAUGGUAGCUCAGUCACGGCUAUGCCUGGACAGCCUCCAUAUAUGAGUUAUACGUCUUACUACAAUGCUGUUCCCCCUCCACCACCUCCAGCACCGGCCUCGUCUACUGAUCAUUCCCAAAACAUGGGUAACAUGCCAUGGGCCAACAAUCCUCCUGUCUCAACACCUGAGCACUCACAAGGUCUUGGUAAUGCAUCUUGGGCACCUAAUCCUCCUAUGCCGCCCACUGUUGGUUAUUCACAGAGCAUGGGGAACGUACCCUGGGCUCCCAAACCUCCAGUACAGCCCCCUGCAGAGAAUCCAUCCACUGUUGGAGAUUCUGAGUAUGAGAAGUUCAUGGCUGAGAUGAAGUAGCAUGUGUGUUCUGAUGAGAAACUCCGUAGUGAAGAGGUAAAAUGUCCUCAUUUGAUGUUAUUGUUUGUUCUCCAUACAGGUUUUGAAAUUAAAAUUUGAAAUCGAAUCAAGUGGCUUUCAACAUAGGAUAAAACUUUACUUUCAAAAACCCAGUUAAGAAAGGAAAGAUAUAGCUAUCAAGCUGAAACUUGAACAGGAAUUUCCCUCAACUUUUCCAACGUUUUCAAAUUGCUUUUUUCUUUUAACAUCAUUUUUGCAACAUCAUCAGUUGCAGGAUGAACCAUUUUGUCCAUUAUUUUGUUCUUGAAAGCCUUCCUGCUUAUGUAAUUUAUCUGUUCCUAGUUUUAUCACAUGAUAACUAACUGCUCUAGCUCAUAAUUUGGUCACUGAUGUGUUUGUGAGCAUGCCACAGCUAAAGGAGUCCUGGUAUUCGAUUCUGAAACAUAGAAUCUGGGAGUUGGAUGUUCGAAUUUUGUCAGUUACCCUUUUUGCUCUAUGUUUUGUUCAGUAAACUACUAAUGUGUUUUCUGUCCCACAUGGAAAGCAUUUGUUUUCACUUCUAAGUUUUUCCAUCUGACAACAUCAAAACUGCCACUAGCAUAGAUUCCAAAAGUUUGUUAUUAUAUACGGCUCAUUAACACGAAUUUUUGUUUUGUUGAUAUUGUUAAUUUUUUCAGGUGUGAUGUUUCUUGGAGGUCUUGUACCCUGAUUUCUUACAUCUUUCUUGUUGGAAGUUUGGGACUCACAUCUUAACCCUUGCUAUGCUGUUGUGAAAUAUGCAGAGAUACAGGCUGGAAGCUCCCGGUUCAGACAAUCAGAAAGGCCAUAAGAAUUUUAUUAACGUUACUGAUAAUAUUGCUGCUCUUUUGUAGGACUAUAUUUAUGUCUGGGGUUCUUGUUUCAUUUCAUAAUACUCAUAUUUACCGUUGAUCAGUGUGUUAAGUCUAGUCUGCUUCAGCUCUCACAAUUUUUUAUGUACUGUUUCAAUUUGGGAGUAAAAAACUUUUGGUGGUAUUGUAGUGCGAAAAAUAUCCGUUAUUCUUUGUGAUGCAAGAUAUGAUCCUCUUACUCUUGAGGUCAUCUCUUUCGUUUAUCUUGUCUCUUGUGUGCAUAGGGAAUUCAUCAGUUCUCGCAGGAACCUGAAGGCAACAGGGGUAUGUUGAACUACAUUGGACAUAUUUACCACUGAUACUUGAUGGUUAUUCUCCACCUUGAUUCAGACUUGUAUUACUGAUAUAAUAAUAUCUUUCAAGCUUCCAUGUGGCAGGUGUGAUUUCUGGCUAGUGAUCCAGAUUUUAACUUUAAUAACUUUGUUCUUGUUUUCAAGCUUGAUCUAUAUCUGUCUAAAUGAUGACAUGCGUGCAUGUUCCAGGAAUCAUGAUAUUACUGCAAAGAAAUCAGCCUAUGUGUCAAACUUAUGCACAGUUUAUGUUGUCUCAAAAGGAGUAUAUAUUCUUUCAAGAGAUAAAUUAUCAUCAACACGGAGACACAGUUUAUGUUGUUUUGAUCUUAGUCUUUCUCUUUGUAAACAUCAUUAUGAUGUAAUAAUAUAAGUCUACCUUUUUUACAUAAAAAUAAAAUAGUGCAUUGAAAAUGUAUUUUCAAUGCAACCCAACGGUGUAAAGGGGCACUAGUAACAAUAACAUCAGAAAGAAGAGACUAUGCAAAAUGAACAACUAAGCAAAAGCAACCAUUAUUGCAUAGGGAUGCAAUGAGAGUACAUAAUUUAAGUUCAAGAAUCCGACCAUAUAUUUUAACUAAGAAAUAUAGUCAGAAUUUAGUUCAAGACAAGAUGGAACAUAAAUUAACAUCACAAGUAACAGCUAAGAUGAGAUAACUUGCAAAGGGAUCAAAACAAGAUUGGAAUACAAGAUUAUAUUUCUCCUCUAUAGCCACCAGAGCCAAAAUAGUCUUUUCUAGAGUUAGAUAUGGCCACACUCUUCUGGUGCUCAAGUUUUGGACAGUCUCGAAUACGAUGUCCAAGACCACCACAAUACGCACAACCCUUGACACCACUUGCAUUCGCAAUGGUCUCUGCUUCUUCCAUUGGAUCAUUCAGUUCAGCAAGGACAGGUGGAAUCCUCUGUUUAGCUUCUUGCAACAAGUGUUUCAAAUCGAGCAGCGUGGUUUCGCUUUGGUUCUUGUUUAUAAAUGUAGUUGCUAUCCCAGUUUUCCCACACCGACCUGUUCGUCCUAUCCUAUGCACAUAGUUCUCAAUCUCUGCUGGCAUGUCGUAGUUGAUUACGUGUUGUAUAUCAGGGAAAUCUAGACCCUUUGAAGCAACAUCAGUCGCGACCAACACAUCUUUUUUCCCAGCUUUAAACGAAGAGAUUGCGUACUCUCUGUCUUCUUGAUCUUUCCCUCCAUGGAUGGCCACUGCUUCCACUCCUUUCAGUAACAAGUACUCGUGAAUAUCAUCAACAUCAGCUUUGUUCUCACAGAAUAUUAAAACCGGUGGAGAUGUUUUCUGUAGACACUCGAGGAGGUAAACAAUCUUUGCUUCUUGUUUGACAUAUUCUACCUCCUGGAUCACAUCGAGAUUCGCAGCUCCAGCUCUUCCUACAUUAACAGUCACAGGUUUCACCAGAGCACUUCUGGCAAAGAUUUGAAUCUUUGUGGGCAUUGUGGCUGAAAACAAAAGUGUUUGACGUUGAGACUUAAAGUGGUCAAAGACUUCCCUUAUGUCAUCUUCGAAACCCAAAUCAACCAACCUAUCUGCCUCAUCUAGUGUCAGGUACCUAUAAUAAGGAAAAAAGGAAGGUAAAUAUUAUUGCCAUCUAACAUUCUCAAGAUUUUGAAAUUAAAUGGCACAACCUCAAGACUCCAAAGACAAGAAAGAUGCAUUCAGAAAGGAACACAAGUGCGGAAAAUUUAUUCAUGAGAGAAAAAACCCUAUCGAAUCAUACAAUAGAGAACAUAUAGAGCAAAGAAGCUCUAAGCCACUAACAGACCCUAGACAAUUCUAUUGAUCUCUCCCGUUUCCUAGGCACAAUAAACCAAAAAGAAACAGAUAUCCUCAAGAAUCUAGCCAAGUGCAAAAGGUCAGAAAACGAGAAUAUAAGAUCAAACAAGGCAGCACAGAGAGAAGACGCAAACAUAUAUUACAAUCAGGUUGAUUAAUCAUAUUGAAAAGAACCAAAGAAGACGAACUAGAGUCAUACCUGCAAGCAUCUAAGCUCAUCUUUUUCUUGGCGAGCAUAUCCUUUAACCUCCCAGGGGUUGCAACAACGAUGUGGACACCUCUCUUGACAACCUCCAACUGGGAUCUCAUAUCAAUUCCACCAAUACAUAGCAACGACCUCAAUGGCGGGUAUCCAGCCUCGACCAAAGGAGCCACAAACUGCUCAACCACUUCAUAAGUCUGCCUAGCAAGCUCUCUAGAAGGGCAAACAAUAAGCCCAAUGGGACCUUCUCCCGCAGCAAUAGGCAUCAUCAUCUCUUCUUGGAGAGCAAUCAUGAUCAUGGGAAGCACGAAAACCAAAGUCUUUCCAGAACCAGUAAACGCAAUCCCAAUCAUAUCCCUCCCAGCCAAAAUCACAGGAAGACCCUGAACUUGAAUAGGAGUAGGCUGCACAAUUCCUUUCUCCUUAAGGGUAUCAAGAACAGGUCUAGGAAACUUCAUAUCCUUAAAGUUCUUGAUAGGAGGAGGAAUAUCAUCACCAUUAACAAUAAUAUGCCAUUGCUUCCUAAUCAAAUCUCUCUGCUUAUUCGACAUCCUCCUAAUAUGCAAAGGAGGUUUCCACCCGGUUAAGAGAGGCUCUGUAUAAGUGAUACCUUUGGCCAAUUCACGAACAGACAUAAGCGUCUUCUUAUCAGAUAAAUGCUCCAUCAUCUCUUUCUCUUGUAAGAUGAUUUGCUCAGUAGCACUAACUUGAGGAACAUCUCGCUUGAGCUGAGUUGCUUGAACGAGUAAACUAGGUUUAGCUUCAGCGAGCUUUUCCUUGUCAGCUUCUUCCUCCAAUUCCGAAGCUUUUCCCUUCCGUUGAAGUAUCUUCUGCGCUUCCAUUGCUCUCCGCUCCGCCACUGAAACAUACUCAACGUAACUAUCGUCGUCUUCCAUGAUGGAUUCAAUAUCGAGAAUUCAGCAACCUAGUAGAAGAGCCUCAAAGCCUGAAAUCAACAAAUUUUUGCAGAUCUCUCGAAUCAAUCGCUAAUACGGGUGACACAGAGGCUCAAAGACAAACUUCAAGACAGAAGCUAAUUAACAAUCAUCAUAAUUUAUGAAAGAACUUCAAGACAAAUUUAAUGUAGAUGUCAAAAAGAGAGUAGCUCUAGCUUAAUUAUUUACCUGCUGAAGUAGCUCUAGGUUUGUCAAACUCCACAGUCUGAAGUAGCUCUGAGAAAAUCAUACUCUGAUUGGUCUCCUGAUAUAGAAGAUGGACUUCUUUCUUUAGAAUCUGAAACAAAAAAAACAAAUCAAUCACAUGAAUAAACCAGAAGUGUCAGGUAAUAAGUUCCAAUUAUUAUCAAUGGGCUAAGUGAAAUACUAAACUGAACACAGACUUCAAAAUUUUCCAAUUCUCAUCAAAGUACCAAACGAGAUAAUUAUUAGAUUCAGACCAAACCACAGAAGAAGAAUAGAGUUCACUCAUAAAAAGAAUAACAAUGCCAAUAAGAAGAAUAACACAGAAGAAAAAGAGCAUUCAAAUGAGAGUCUCUGAAACUAAGCUAUCACAUGGAGUAACUUUGCUAAUUAGAGUAAAAGAAGACGCAGGAACUUGCAAAAGAAUUGUUACCAAAAAAAAAAAAUUACAAAAGAAGACACAGAUAUCUGCUUGAAUAUUUGCAGAGAGAAACCAAACAUAUCACAUGAUUAAAGAAUAUCUAUACUAACGUUCAUGAUACUAAUCUCAUUUCCAUACUAACGAUGAACUAUAUUUUACACAUAUCUUCUUCCUUCAUAUAUAUACUAAUCUCUAUACUAUUCUAAACUAAAGAUGAACUAAGCCAAUUUUGCUCACAAACCCAGAAAACCCAAAACCAAGCUCAAAGAGCAACGAUUUGAUGCAGAACAUGAAGAACCAAGUUCAAAAUGUAAGAAAUUAAAACCUUGGAAAGAAGAAGGGCUUAUUAAGAUAUGAGUAGGAACUAGCUUGGAGUUGUUGAUGUGUUCCGAGGUUAAACUCUGAAUCUCAUUCUUCUGAAAUUUAACAAAGAAUCAGCCAUAAGCCAAAACUCAAAAAACCCACAAUAGAGAUUAGAGAGAAAAACCCAGAAAGCAAAACCUUAGAAAUCAAUUUUGAUAUUGCAAAAGGGAAAAUUAGAGAAAUUACUUCGACUUUGGCUGGAGGAGGAGUAGAGGUUUCCGGUGAUGGAUCUUCGGCUUGGAGUGAUGAUUCCGGAAAAGAAAGAGGAAGUUCCGGUGGAGUUUGUACUGUGACGAAUCGGAGAAAGCAUGCGACGAAUCGGAGAAAGGUUCUCUUUUGCCUCCGACGACGAAUCUGUGAUGGAGGAGUAAACAAAACUAGCGUUACGAAUUUGGUAAUUAUUAACAAAACAUAAGGGCAUGGACGAGUAAACAAAACGUUUCCAAUCGCAUCACCAAUUUACCCUGCGAUCACAAAUUUCAGUCGCGGAUCACAGCGAUUGAUCGCAGCGUUUAGUUGCAGGUUCCUGCGACUGCUAAACGAACAACUUUCAAUUGCAGUUGCAGUGAGUGCCAAACGAACAGCCCCUACAAGCCCAAAUAGUUCUUACUUGUCGGGCCGUUCCGCGUUUUUGUGGGUGACUGGCAGGUACUUUUAGAAAAAAAAAAAGUAUAUUUUUUAUUUUUUCGAAAACAUCUAUGUAUUCACCUGUCAGAAAAAAAAAAAAGAGAAUAAUUGCUUUUCUACUGAAAAGUCAAAAAGCAUAGUAAAAAUGAAAAUUUUAUCCCUCUUCAAAAUAACUAAAGUAAUGUUUUCAUCUAAAGUAACGUUUUCUUCUCUAUUUCUUCUUUAGAAUUCUACUCAUUUCUUCUCAUUUUUUUACCAGUCAAACCUAAUAUAUUUUAGUAAUAUUUUUGAGAAAGUUUUUUAGAACAAAACUCAUUUUAGAAGUAUUUAUGAGAUUAAAAAAAAAAAAAGGUAUUUAUGAGAAUUGCCCACAAAUUUACUCAAUUUUUGGGUUUUACUUUAAUAUUAUUUCACUUUAGGGAAAAGUUAAUUAACAACGGUCUUCAAUUCGUGCAAAGUCUUCGACCGUGUCCCCAACCUUCUCGAACUUCUCUUUGAACCUCAAAUAAUCUCCACAUUUAAAAGACCGAAAUAUCCUCAUAUCCUCACAACCUCCCACCACUUCCUCAGGGUCAAAUACGACUUCACCGACGAGGGGCACGGUGAAUUUUGUUGAGCAUAUCGGCGAUUCUCCCUGAACCAAUCAGCGACUCUCUUUCACUCGAUCUGAGUCUUUUCUUCACCAAAUCGGCGUGUCUCUUUCACCAAGUAUUUCUGAUGGUACGCAUGUCUUUAUCAUACUACGAAUUCUUGUGUAUUUGAAUAUAUAAGAAAUUAGGGUUUCUGUGAUUUUAGGUAAAUUAGGGUUCUUUGUUGUUAGUAAAAUUAGGGUCCUUUGAAGACAAAUAGGGCAUGAUUGUGGUUACUUUUAGUCGAUUUUAGGCAUAGAUUGUUUGUGUCGAUUCAUCUUUUAGUUCGUUUAUGGAAGCCCUUUUCCUCUUCUGUCAUUUUUGUUGUUAAUUGGAAAUUAUAUCUACUUUAGGAAGAUCCUCCUGCUAAUAGCUAAAAAUGUAGCAUCUUAUUAUAUAAAGUAUGAUUUUCAAAGUUAGUAAUUCAUAGGAUCGUGACACGUGUCAAUUUCAUCGAUCUCAGAUUUUGAUAUGUGUUAAACAAAAAUUUCUUCUUUUCUUAAAAAUAUAUAUAAACAAACUAUACGCGCAUGUCAAAUUUAUUGAUAUCAGAUUUUAACACGUGUAAAACUAAAUUUUUAUUUAUUUAGAAAAAAUAUAAGAAAAUAAUACGUAUACAUCUUAUAUAAAAUAAUUCUAAAAAUCUAAAGAAGAUCAUUAUUAGGAAACUAGAUGUAUCUUAUUAAAUAAAAAUAGAAAUCUAAGACAAAAAAAUAUAAGGCAACCAUACAUACAUAUCUUAUAUGAAAUAAUUUUUAAAAAGUAAAGAAGAUAAUUAUAAGGAAACUAUAUGUAUCUUAUUAAAUAAAAAUAGAAAUUAAAAAAUCAUUUACUAAUUCUAAUUUAAAGCUACUAAAGAUUGAUUUUCAAGGGUUUUAAAUUUAAAUUUUUAGGUUUGGGUUGAUUAUUUUAGAUUAAAGGCAUAGUUUUAGGAGGUAGGGUUUACCUUUAAAGGUUGAAAGUUUAAUUUUAGUUUUGUGGUAUUUGGUUUACAAAAAAAAAAAAAAAAAAAAAAAAGUUUUUUGGUAUUUUUGGGAAAACCAGAAAUUAAAUGAAUUAUUGGGAAUAUUAAACUAAUAAUGAUAGUUUUGAAAACCAAAACUUAAGUGUUUUAUUUUUUAGAAUUGUACUAUACUUUUUAUUCGAAAUAUUAUUUUAGUUAAACAAUUCUAAUUGUUAAACAAACUAUGUAAAAGUGAAAGUAAAGAAACAUGAGAAGAAACAUACACUUUGUUUAUUGUGUUCAUAGAGAUAUUUUUUAGGUGGUAGCAAAUAGCAGAUUUCAACAGUAAAAUAUGAUUGAGUCUAAAAAAGAUAUUUUGAGUGGUAAGCUAUUAAAUUGUAAAUAGAUGUAAAUAAGAUGAAGGUUUGACCUGUGGUUUAUAUGUAAAAUAUUUUCUGCAAAAUUUUUGGAUUCAUAUUCUAGGUCUUGGCAAAAUUUUUGGUGAAUGGUAAUUUAAAGUUACUUUAUUAUUAUAAUAAAUGUACCAAGAAAUUCAAACUAUAAUAAUGCAAAUAAGUGUAUUAAGGCAAAAGAUGAAUAUAUAAACAAAUCUUCUAUCUAAUUGAAAAUUUAUCUUCUUAUUUCUUAAAAUAGUUUCUAUUUUUUUUUUAACGUCGUGCAUUGAAUAUCAAAAUGAAACCGAGUUUGAUGACAGAGAAAGAAAAAGCUCAAAAACAGAGCAAAACGAGAAGUAAAAACAGAGCAAGACAAUAGCGUGAAUAAAAACUCGACUAAGAUACCGUCGGUGCAAGAUAGACGAAGGAUUGAGACUCCGUGAAAUGGUUACGUGCAGCGUCUCCGUUCCUCCUCAAUUAUGUUAUGAAGCCAAGCUGGUCCUCCUAUCGCCAUGUAAGAGUUGAAUCGACCUUCUCGUGUGACACUACAGGCAAUAUCCCUGGCCAAGGAAUUGGCUUUCGGUGAAGAGAUGUGAAAAGAAAUAUCCCGCAUCACCUGUACUACCUGAGUAAUUUUGCUGAGAAUAGAUCGAUAUUUUGGCCAAUCUUUCGGUGUAGCUAACGCCCGUAUCGCUGCUGUGCAAUCUGACCAAAUCUCACACGAUUCCACAUGGACUUGAUGUAGACUUUGUAGACACCAUAAGAUGCAAUGUAACUCCGCAGCCACCCUGUUAAACAUGGGAAGAAAAGCAUCUCUAGCGUGUAAGACCGCAUCACCAUUAUGAUUACGUAAUAACCAUGCUCCUCCGCAAUGAAAAAUAUCUUUUAUCCAGGAGGCAUGCACGUUACACUUUAGCUUUCCACUCGCUGGUCUACUCCAUCUUGUUGCGAAAAAUAGUUUCUAUUCACAAUAAAAAAAAUUAAAUAUAUCUAGUUUUUGUUAAAUUUAAUUUUAUUUAAAAUUUUAAAAUCCGCACAUCGGGCGGAUCCUUAUCUAGUUUAUUAUAUAUCACUGACUUGAACUAACUUUUUCUAUCUUUUUUUGGUGGGCAGUGUCUUCGAACGCUUCAUCUCCUCGUCAUGGUAGCCAGUUACCUGACUGAAGCAUGCUUCUUUCUGGUAAAAUAUUAUUAUUUUUGAUAAAAUUUUACUAUUUUUGGAUUAAAAGUUAAUUUUUAUAUAUUUUAAUUAUUUUUAAAUAUAUAUUUAACGGAUUAGAUAUCCGACAAAUAGUCUGGAUUUUUACGGAUAUUCGAACAGCCGGAUAUCCGAUCACUAACGAAGCAAAUACGGAUCAGAAAACUAAUUAUUCGGAUAAAGCAAAUCGGAUCACGAAUACCACCAAAAUUUCGGAUAUCCGUUUUGUGCCCAAUCCCUACGAACCAUGACUAAUUUAAUACAAGUGAUGAUGAUUAUAUAUAUAUAUAUUUUUUGGUGCAUGCAUACAUUAGUUAUUUUUAUUUUAUAAAUUUAAUUUUUAUUUGGGAUAUAUAUUUAACCAUAUAAUGAAUCAUACUUGAUGUACCUGCAAAACAAAUUUCAUAGUUUCUGAAACGGAGCAACGUUGACAUUGCAAAUGUUUCGGCUUCUCUCUUUCCCUCUUUUAUGUCUAAGUGCAUUUUCACAUAUGUAAAUGAUCACUUUAUUUGUUAGUAUUCAUUGGAUUGUGUUGUUGCCAAAAAACGGACAUUGUCACAUAUCCCUUUAUAUUAUAAGGAAGACAAAGGACGUGAGGACAAGAUAUAGAGUCCGAGGCUAUAUCAUGCGACCAACUAAAGUCAAAAAUCAAGAGAAAUUGGAAAUUUGUGUAUCUCAUUAUAUUUUAGCAAGGGCAAAAAAAAAAACAAUUGAAAAUAUGGAAAAAUGGAUAGAAAAACCCUUACCUUUUCUUAAAAACAUAUAAAAAACCUUAACUUUUUUUGUGGGUUUUUAAACCCCCACCUUUUUAUAAAUGGUAAUAUAAACCCUAUUAUUCAUAAAGUCAAUUUAAAUUCAAACAAAUCAUUAUAUUAUAAUAUAAAUAUAUAUAAAUAAUUUGAUUUAGGAUUUUCUAUUCUAAUGUUUACAAUCUUUUUUUUAAUUGAAAUUUUUUAAAAUCAUGAUGUAAGAAAGUUAAUUAAUGAAGUUUUAUUCGGCUGUAUUACAAAAAUUCAUCAACAUGAAACUAAACAAAUUUUGUUACGAGUGACAUAUACAUUCUUUUACCUAACCGAAUAUGAAUUUAUUUUAAUAAAUAUUUAUUCGGUUCGAUCACACAAAUUGCUAACGUGAAACCAAAACAAAUUUUAUAAUACUACGAGAAAAGUAUAAGAAUUUCCACAUGAAAAUAUUUUCAUCAGACAAAGAAAAUAAAUAAACAUUUAUUAGCAGUUAAUAUUUCUAUAUAAAUUAUGAUUUAUUUAAAAUAGAAUUGAAAUAAUUUUAGUUAAUCAUUAUUUAACUAUAUUUUUCUCCAAAAUUGAACCUCCAACUGAAUUUUGUUAUAAUUUUGACUAUUUCUUAAAAUAAAAGAUGAACAUCUCAAACAAACAAAAAAAAAAUCAAAUGUGGUAUCCUAUAAAUUUUUGUAAUUUAUAUAACAUAACUUCUAAUGGUAACAAAACUGAUUUACCUAAUCUCAACUAUAUGGUGAAUGAACUUUUAUAUCGCAAAAACCCUAAUUUUAGAAAGAAAAAUAGCGAACUCGAAUUUGAAAAGAAUAAAUGAUAAAUUAAAUUAUUUUCCUUUAUUGUUAUUUCAGUAUAACGAUUUUAUUUAAAUUUAAGUUGAGUUUAUGAAUAUUAGGUUUUAUUUUACCACUUAUGAAAAGGUGAGGGUUUAAAAACCCACAAAAAAAGUUGAGGGUUUUUGAUAUGUUUUAGGAAAGGUGAGGGUUUUUCUACCCAUUUUUCCUGAAAAUAUAGAUCAUUUAUAUGAAUCUCAUUAUAUUUUAGUAAUCUUUAGAAUUAAUUCGUAAACUAACACCAAAAAUCAAGUGAAAUACUAUUACAUGUCUAGUUAAAAGAUGAAAAAUCCAUUAAAAUAUAGGGAGAGUUUACAAAAUAUACUCAAAUUUUAAUAUCAUAAAUCCCUAGUUACAUGUAAGAAAUAUUUUGCAUAAAUAAUAAUAAUUUCCAUAUGUUUAAAUAAUUUUUUUUAUUUAAAUGUUAGAUUUAUCACUAAAUUUUGUUUUCCAUGAGAAAAUUAUUUUGUAUUCCUAGAUGAUAUCUUAUUAUAUAAAAUAUGAUUUUCAAAGUUAGUAACUCAUAUGAUCGUACCACGUGUCAAAUUUAUCGAUCUCAGAUUUUGACAUGUGUAAAUAAAAAAUUUCCUUUUAUUUAGUUUUUAAAAAAGGAAAGUAUAAAUAUAUAUCUUAUAUCAAACAAUUCCAAGAAUCUAAAGAAGACAUUUAUAAGAAAAUUAUACGUAUAUCUUAUUAUAUAAAAAUAGAAAUUAUAAAAUUAUUUACUAAUUCUAAUUUAAGUUACUAAUUCUAAAAGAAAAAUACUAUUUUCUUAAAAAUAAAAAAGUAUUUAAGAACAUACUAAUUAUAAAAUUAAUUAAUAAAAUACGAUAAUUAAGAAAAUUAUACAAAAAAUUAUUAAUCUUAAAAGAAAAAUUAUACUCAUCUCUAAACAAAUAGAUUGUCUCCUAAUUUUUCACCAAACAAAAUAGUUUCUUCAAAAACACCACAACUGCUCCUAUUUAUUUAGUUCUUUUUUUUUUUUUUUUUUAUAUAAAUACAUCAUCAAUUAUUGAUAUGUGAUAUUUUUUUGAGAAAUUUCUUAAAAUACCACGCUUUCAAUUUUUUUUUUUUUACGAAAAAUACCACUAUUAGUUUAAUGUUCGAAAAAUAUCACACAAUUUUUUGUUUUUUUUUUUAAAAUACCACAAACACAAAAAUUGAUUUUCAAGGGUUCAAAUUUAAGUUUUUAUGUUUGGGUUGAUUAUUUUAGAUUUAAUGUAUAGUUUAUAUGGGGUUUGGUUUAGUAUUUAGGGUUUAGCUUUGAAGGUUAAAUUCUAAUUUUAUUUUUGUGGUAUUUUUGGGAAACCCAGAAAUUAAGUGGUAUUUUACAAUAUUAUAUUAUUAAGUGUGUAUUUUUGAGAAUUGUCAUAUAUUUUCAUUAUAAAUACUUUUUGAGUUAAACAAUUUUAAUGGUUAAAGAAACUAUGUAAAAGUGAAAGUAAAGAAACAUAUCAUUGGCUUAAUAUGUUAAUAGAGACAUUUUUUAAGUGGUGGUAAACUCAUGCAACACUAAAAUAUGAUUGAGUGUUGAAAAUACAUUUUGAGUGGUAAAUGUGGAUGUCGGAUUCACACACUCAAGUAUUUUUAUUAUAUAGGAAAGAUUAUUCUUGAGGGACAAAAAAUAAGAAUGUAAAAGGCUUAUGAAUUGCUACAAAAAUUGCUAUAGUAUUUCUCGCUCAAGAGAACCCUCCCUUUUUACAUGGCCAUUGGCCUUUAUAUUUAUACAUAGAAGAAUGACAUUUAAUGGGCUAAUUAAGUAUAAUUAUUCUCUCUUAAACGUGACCGUUUUGGUCUUUGACUUUAAUGAUAAACGUUCGAAUUUGAAUUGAUUCUGAUCUUCAUGGGCCUCGCCUUUUGGCCCAAAUGUCCUUGGACCGAUUUGACCAUGACUUCGUCUCCGGAGUGGUGUUGAGGUGCAGUCACUUCGGAUUCUCCUUAUAGUGAUAACCACUUCGACUGUUCUUUUGACUUGUGGAUCUAAUGGGCUUUAUCCUUUAUUGGCCGUUAUCCUGACUAGGUGGCAAUCUUUGGUUGGUUCCGAACAUUUGGUGCGGGAUCCGACACCAACAGUAAACUAUUAAAUUUUUAAAUAAAUGUAAAUAAAAUGACGGUUUGAUAUGUGGUUUAUAUGUGAAAUAUUUCAUGAAAAAGUUAUGGAAUCAUAUUUUAAGCGAAAUUGCAAACCAUGUUUCUUGAGAUUUAACAAUAAUAAUAACUAAUAUUUUGGCAAGUAUUUUGGUGAUUGGUAAUUUAAAUUAACUUGAUUAUUAUAAUAAAUGCACUAAUAAAAUUAAAAUAUAGAAAUGCAAAUAAGGGUAUUAAAGCAAAAAGAUGAAUAUAUAAACAAAUUUUCUCUUUAGUUAAUAAUUUAUCUUCUUAUUUCUAAAAAAUAUUUUCUAUUCACAAUAAAAAUUUAAUAUACAUUUUUUGUUAAAUUUAAUUUUAUUUCAUAAAUUUAAACCCGUACAUCGGGCGGAUCCUAAUCUAGUAUUAUAUAUUAUAGAAUAUAGUAUAUCUUGGAAUUGGGAUAUAUAUAUAUAUAUAUAUUGUUGGAAUAAGCUUGAAGAAAUAACUUGUGCGACAAGUUAUUUAUUAAAAGAAGAGAAAUGUUUAAGUCUUUAGGAUUUAUCUUGAAAUAUUGUUUAGGAGUUAUGUAAACAAUUGUUAGUUUGUAAGGUUUGAGAGAUUGAGAGAACUUGAGGGCUUAGUUUUGAGCAAGUUUCUAAAGCAUAAUAAGAAGAGAGUAAUUCUUAAUCCUUGAGUUCAUAUAUAAUCGUCUUAAACACUUGAUAUUUAUUCCAAGUUUUAUGUUUUGAACUUGAUUCAUGAUUUCAUGGUCUCCCUUCAAUAUUCUCAUUUGAAGUUCCAUGCAGAAGAAUUAUAUAUGCAUGGCAGAAUUAUGCGAGAACUUUACACUAUAUAUGAAGCAAGGUAUGGAAGAAUGAACAAAGAUCAAACAACCAACCGGCUGACAUCUUAGCACGAAGUGACAUUACAGAUAAUGCUUCUUUCUAUUAUCAUUACUACGUUCCUCAUAUAAUAUGUAAUGCUUUACAUUCAAACAAUGUAUCAAUUUACUACAAGAAAAAAUGAAUUUAGCGACUACACAAAACGUAACUAAAGAGUCGCUAAACCCAUAAUUACGACUGAUUGACGACUAAAACACGUUGUCGCUGAACACUGCGUCGCUAAAAUUAGUGGUAGGAAAACAGUCGCUAUUUAGCGACCAUUCCGCGACCACUGUUGGUCGUCGCUAGUCGAUCGCCAAACAGUCGCUAAUUUAGCUACUGGUUUGCGAUAAACAAGCCACUAAAUGGCGACUGGUUUGGCGACUGAAUUGGUGACUGAACUGCAGUCACUUUGCGACUGAUUAGAGGUUUAUUUAUCGUUUUAGCCUGCUAUUUUCGAUUCCAGUUACGCAUUUAUAAUCAAAACCAAACAUACAAAAAAUAACCUUGGAAUUAAAACAGAAAACAUAACAAACAUAAAAAUAAUACUUGUUCAAAACAAAACAUUAGUAGCAAGAGUACUUGUACCAUCACCACCAACAAACUUAACCAAAUAUCAAGUUCAAGUUUUUAAGUUGAGAGGAGAGAAAGCUAAGGGACAUUAGUAGCAGGAGUAGUAGCAGAAGUAGUAGGAGGGACCUCUGAAUGAUCAUCCGCAGGAGUUGAUUGAGACUUGAGGAAGGCCAAAAAAUUUGGGCCAGUUUCACUCAAGUACUUCUUCACCAUCGUCAAGUUUUUGAUCUCAGCUGUAACCCGCAAUGCCUCUGCUUCACGUUCUGCUUGUAGAGCUGCUUGUUCCUCUAUCUUGCGGUUAGCAUCCUCAAGCUGUGAUUGCAGGGUUGUGAAAGAAGAAGUGCUUCAUGGGUACUUACGCUUCCCGUUGAUGUAAACCCCUAAGCUUCCAACUCCAAAGUAUUCCCCUCUAUCAUUUGUGACAGUAGACGGCAUAACAAAAGAAAGAGUAUUAGUCCUUAACAUGAGAAAAAAACAACCAUAAAUAACCACAUAAUUACUUGAAGGAAGAUCUCAUCCUCCUCCUCUUGAGAUAGCUUAGAGCGACGUGAAGUACCAUCAGAUUGUUCAUCAUUCUCAUGAAGGGCAACCAACUUAGCUGCCUUGUUCUUAAGAUAUGCCUCACAGAUUUCAUGCGGCUUCCUAUCCACAAAUGUCCCAUCCUUCUUGGUAUGAGUCCUGAUGAACACUUCACCAAUAGUAGGCGGUUUUCCCAAUUCAACUUCCUCAAAUGUUGUAACAUAGAUGUCACAAUGUAACUAAACAAAACAAAUUUAAAACAGAUUUGUAACUUACCAUCUCUUGCUCUACUUGUAAGAAGGACUUCGGACCAAAUACAUGCUUGUGAGGACCAAGGCCAUUAUGGUCAGACAUUCUAGCUGCGGAUGUGGUUGAACUCUUUUCUAUGGCUUCUUCAGUGUCCCAAUAGUCACACAUCUCUUUCCACAGUUUUUUCUCAAUCUAAUACGGCUUCUCUCUUCUUGUCGCUGCCUUACUAACCAUGUCUUUCAUACGAAGUUGAAUGAUCUUAUAGAAUUUGGCUUCAACCACAAAUGAUCUUAUAAAAUUUGGCUUCAAUCACACAUGUUAGUGAGGGAUGCCAGGUGUGUUGUUUCUACAAAACAAGAGGAGAGUGAAGCAGAUUUUAGUGAUCAGAAAACCAAAACUGAAGUAUAAAUACAGUAGUAGAAGAGGGAUAGAAAUUUAAUGCAAAUUCGAGGAAGUCUCUUUCUCUUAUUCUAGUUUGCACACAGCUCCAACUGUAGUAUGAUCCAUCAAACUUGUUUGUAAAACACUUGGUGAUCUUCCGGGUCAGUUUACCAUUAUCCUAUCAGUGUUUUUUUAGUUUUCCUCGAAUAUUUGAGAAAGUUCUUUUUAGAAUUCGAAUCAGUCAUCAACCACACUGUCCAGCUUGCCAUCAAUACAAAAAUAUAUUAAAAAACUGGUCGUUACUAUAAAUAAUUAUUAUAUGUUUUGGAUAUUCUCAAUUUUUGAAUUUUAUGUUUAUCUGAGGUUAUUAAUCAGUUACCAACCAUUUAUUCUAUAUGUUAGACUUAUACGGAACUUGAAAUUGAUCACUAAGUAGAGUAAAGUUCAACAUGCCUCUUUGUUGGAAAAACGGCUUUUCAUACCUUAAUCUAAUAAGUAUGUUCAAUUCAUACAUUAACUAUACCUCUGUACAGAUACAUAUCUCAACUAAGAAAAAAUUCAAAUUUGCUAUAUGCCACCAUUUAUUUACUUCUUCUUCGUUUUUCCUCUCUACUGGAAUUACUAUUUGAGGAUUUUCCAAAGUCCAAGAUCCUUUAAUGGCGCCAUCAGCUUGUUCAUAUUAGCAUUUUAAUUUUCUUAAAGUUUCUAAAUUGUAGUUAGUUUAAUAGAUUUCGAACUUGAACAAUUGAAAUUCCAACUUGAACAAAUUCAUGAUGUAAUUGUAGAACUCUAGAUUUCUAUAAAUCUACAUAUUGUGAUUCCAGUAGAGAUAAAGAAGAAGGAGAAAUAAAUAAAUGUUGGAAACGUCGUUUUGUCUCAAAUUUUAGGUGUUUAAUUUGGUUAAGAUUUAAACGGUAUAGUUAAUGAUAUUAGCAUCUACGUAUGUUACAAUAGACAUAAUGUUAACCACAUCUCAGGAUAUGCAUGUUAUUGCACGAAACAAAAAGAUUAGGUAGUGAAUUUAAAUUUUUGCUUAGUUUGGGUAUGUAUCUGCACAAAAGUAUAGUUAAGGUAUGAAUUGAACAUACCUAUUGAGUUGAGGUAUGAAAAAGUCGUUCUUCCCCUCUUUGCCACUCUGAUUUUUGGCAGAGUAAUGAAGGAAAAAAAAAAGUAAUCUGGAAAUUAAAAAAUACAAUGAAUUAUACCAAUAUAACUUACAUUUUCUGAGGAUCUACGUCUUCGAGGAAACAAACACUCCCUCAAACCGGGCCUUGUGGCCUAGUGGUAAAGGGGUCACAGCUGUGACUUCCGCCACCGGGGUUCAAGGCACGGCCACUGGCAGGUUUACAUAGGGGAAUUGCCAGCCUCGUGGGAUUAGUCUUUGGGCCUAGGAAGCCUUUGGGAGACCCGCGGUUAUUCAAAAAAAAAACACUCCCUCAAGCUAUUGAUAUUCAUCAAAUUACAAGAGCUAACAAAGAAGCUUUGUUUAAUACCGAACUAUUUAAUACUUUUUUUAAUUAAUAAACUUGUAAAUAUCAUAUAGAAUGAAAUGUUUAGGCUUUACAAAAUAUAGACCUUAACCUUACUACUGUGGCAAAAAAAAGAAAUAAAAAAACAAGAGAGUUAAAGAACUCAUUCUAACCACAGUUGCAUUAAAUUAGAGAAUUUGUUGAGAUGUCUUCUAGCAGUAAUCGAGUUACGAACUACAUAAUUUAUUAGAAGACAAAAGUGCCAUUAAUCUACUUAAUGUAUUAAUCCUCUUAAUGGUCCAUAUUUUCUUGAAGUUCACUAACAACCCGUUUGCAAGUGACUCCCUCGUAAUCUACUUAAUGUAUUAAUCCUCUUAAUGGUCCAUAUUUUCUUGAAGUUCCAUUUGAGUAAAGCUUGAACCUCUCCACCAGCAAGAGUAUUGCCCACACAAGGGCUAUUUAACCCCAUGAUAUAAUCUGAAUUACGUAAUGAAAAUAAAAUAUGAAAAUUCAGUAACAAAAUUUAAAUAAUGAAUUAAAAAAUUACAUAUAAUAUUUAAAUGAUUAAAAUCGUACAAAAACGAUAUAUGGAACAAUAGAAAAGUACAUACAUAAUAAACAGAAAUCUAAAUUUACUAGUCUGGCAUCCGCAAGCUGAAGAAGAAUUUUUAAAUAACCUCGAAAUCUUUAGAUCGACUGUCAUCCUCCUCCUUCAUAUGCGUCAUCUUCUCAUUGCUUCACGGGAUCCUUCGUCGCUUGAAGCAAUUCUUGAGUCAUGGACAAGGUCGGCCCUGUCAUAAAGCAACUAAAGCACAAGCUUUAGGCCACUGAAUAUAAACUAAAUUUUAGGGCCACAUUUUUCUAAAUGUUAUAUUUGCUCAGUGGUUAUAUAGUCCAAAAGUUUAUUGUAGGUAUAGAAUUCGAAUCCCUUUGAAGUCACGGUUCCUUCUUUUUUGGGGUAAUAUUUCCAGCUUCUCUCUUUAAUUAUCUCUUUAUUCUUCUCUUCCCUCCAGUUUUUUUUAAUAGAUUUUAUUUGCUAAAGUGCUCAUGCUAAUCAUUUUCGUAAGAACAACAGAACUAAUUACUAUCGUCACUGUGAUAUUCAAUAUCAUAUAUAACUGUGAGAUUCAAUAUCUAUGUUUACGAAUCACGAACACGAAAAUGACAACAAUUACAUUUCUGUAUAUAUAUUUCUGAUUUAAUCUAUUAUUACUCGACUAUGAAAACCUAAUUAAUUACUGAAUUUGUUGAAGAAAAAAUUAGAAAAGUUUAUUUUUGUGAACGGAAAUAAAUUAGAUUGUCUUACGUUGUUAAUAUAUUUAAUGUUUUUUUUCAUCAACUAUAUCUGAUGAUUUACAAAAAAAAAUUAUAGUGUUUUAAUGUUAAUUUUUUAAUCAUUAGUAUAUAAGAAGUCCACAUAGUUUAAGCAUGCUUUAGGCCACAUAAUGUCAAGGACCGGCCCUGGUCAUGGAGCUUGCUGGAGUAAACGAGAAUGAUGUUACACAGCCCUCUGGAAUGAAGUCUAAGCCGUGUCGACGUCCUUCUUCUUUACAAAAACAUUCUAAUAUUGAAAACUAAUAAUUAAAACUAGUUACUUACAGAGAUAGAGAAAAUGUACUUACUGAUUGGUAGAGCUUCUCCAUAUCAGUUUUUGACACCUCCCUGGACUAGAUGGAGAAUGCAUGCGCCGCGCCCUUAGAGAGGAAAACCUAAGAUAACUGCUUGCCAACCUUCUUCUUGACAACCUCGAAGAUGGUCUACUAAAUCUUCUUGUCGAAGAUAGUACUAUUGGAAUUACCUCCUUAAAGUUACCUCUAUAAGGGUUUUAUGAGGAAAAAGUUCUCCAAAUUCAAACAAUUUUGGAUUGAUGUAUGUUUGGAGAUCUCUAUAUAUACCGCCUUCAUUGAUGUUGAAGCCAUUUGCUUUUCGUGAUGUGAUAUGUUCUUGUCUAAUGGGCCAAGUGUGUGGUUCAAAUUUUGUCACCCAUCUAAAAAGAAUGCACUCCUUGAUAAACAAAGCAAGCUAUGUAAGGAUAUAAUAGUACUCUGAUCGAUGAGCUCCUUUUCAUAAUUAUCGUAGAGUGACGGUAGAUUUAUCUCUUCGGACAAGUUUAUUUGGUUAAGGCCACAUUUCCAUCCUAACUUGUUUUUGGAGUUUAAUUUUUUUUUCGAAUAUUCCUUUUUGUUUUCAGUUUUAUAUUUGUAAAUUAAAGUUUCAUAAAAGAAAAAAGAUAAACACACAAUAUUAGUGGUUUUGUGUGGAUCAUCUACUCCGUUUUAGGAGUGUUAGAGCAUCUCCAACCCACAUCUAUAUUUAUCUCUAAAAUAGAGAUUUCUAUUUUUUUCUCUAUAUAUAGAGGUGGGAAUAGAGAAUCUCUAUUUUUUUCUCUAUAAAUAGAGUUAAAUUUUUUAGAGGAAAAAAUAGAGGAACACAUUGGAGUAAAAAUAGAGAAAAUUUAUCUCUAUUAUAGAAAUAGAGCUAAAAAUAGGGAAAUACAUUGGAGAUGGUCUUAACCAUCUUUUAUGAAUUAACUAGGUCCGGACCCGCACAUACGUGCGGGGUUUUAUAUUUUGAAAGAUGCGGGUUGAAUAUUUUUUGUAUAACGUAUAGUGAAAACGGGUCUAACAUUUAGUGUUGGAAAACGUAUGUAUGGGGUUUUUUGUUUGAUUGGUUAAAAAGAUUGGAAAGAAUAAUUAGUAAGAAUUUAGUAAUUUUGAUUGGUGAAUGAUUGGAUAUCUUGGUUUGGUUUUGUUGAAUUAUUGAGAAAGUUGCAAAAUUGGUUGUAAUAUUUGUGAAACGAAAUUAUUAUUCUGAGUUUUAUUGUAUAUUUUUAUUUCUUAAACUAAAAAAUGAUUUGUUUGGUGAAAUAAAAUUAUUGUUUGUAAUUUGAUGCAUAUUUCAUAAAUAUAAAUGAUUAUAAUUCAGAUAAAGGCCCGUUAAUGAUUCCCCUUUUAAUUAGGAUUGGGCUGGAUUUUUGAUAGACCCAUUUAGAGAUCCAUGGUUUCGUUUUUGUUUUUUAAUACAGAAUCAAAUGUUUUUUUUUUCUUUUGGACAGAAGUGAUUAUAGCACGAUUCUUUGUCUUAUGGUCUUCAAAGAAUGAAUCCCUAAAAAUCAGAAGCUUUUCCGAUUUCUCAAUCAAUGUCAAAAGUUUCGAUCAUCAAUCGAGUCUCUGUACAUAUAAUUUCCAUAUCAGAUUCGGAAUUUCUCCAAAGAGGUAAGGUUUUUAGAGAUUCUUCUUCAAUCAAUCUAUUUUUAUAAUCUGUUGAUUCAUUUACAAUCUUUGUAAUUCUGUGUUUCAACAGAGAUCUUGGGCUAUUACUGUGGGUAUACGAACUUGCAUGAGUAAGUAUUUUCAAUUAUAUUUGUUGUUUAGAUCCGUAAUUGCAUGUCUAUAAUUUUUGUGUUUAUUCGGGUAACUCUAUCUAUUAUCAAAAUCUUCUAUGCGUUGGAGUGAAAAGAGGCUAUAAUUUGAUUUUGUAUAGAUUUAGGCAAUAGAUUUUGUUUCCUAAUAUUUAAUUUGUUCCUAAAUUGAUUUUAGAUAAUGAUUGGAUGAUGAUUUUGUCUGAGGAAGACGAUUUACAAAGUUAAGCUUUCUAUUACAGCUCUUACAUAACAAAACAAUGUCUUAAUAUAUAUGGUUCUGAUUUUACCAAAUACAAUGUUUACAGAGAAGGCAAAAUAUUCGAGUUGAUUUCAAUCUGAGAAGACAAAUUUGAUGUCCUUUAGUAGCCAUAACGGAAUCUGGAAGCUAUUUUAAAGGUUAGAUUAUGUAAUCUCUUUCUGAAAUUGUAGAGUUGUUAUAUAAAACAUAUAGUUGUCAAUCUAUACUUUUAAAUAUUGAUAUUGCGUAGCUUAACAAUUAUGAGUACAAUAUAGUUUUUAGAAAACUUACUUAAAUUUAGGGAAUAUACUAAUUAAACUUUUUAUGGAAAACAGAGUAAAAUAGAGAUUAAAUACAAAAGAAACAAAUAGGGUAGGUUUAAGUCGAUUACAAAAGGAGUUUUCCAUACCUCCAAGGAAGUUUUUAAAAAGACAGAGUUCAUCUCCUCUAAAAAUGUAAAAAGAAACAACAUAAACUAAGAGAAACUGAAGUAACCUUGCAAAUCCAAUCCCUCCUUCCUUCACAUGUUAGUUCUCAUCAACCAUCUCCAUCAUCACAUCCUCUUCGUCACUUGAUCCAUCGUCGAAUGAUCGCCUGCAAAAAAACAUAUGCUUUAUGUUUACCUAGGCUAUGAAUCUCAACCAAAAUAUAAGCCAAUUAUAAGAGAAUUUUUAACUUACAGAUAACUUGGAAUGUCAAGUUCAUAAAAGAUUGGAUCAAUGUAUAGACGUGAACAGCCAUAUUCACUCAUUAAAACAUUGUUUCCUAUAGGAAAAAAAAAGAUUCAGUCAAUGUAACUAAUAAAAUUGUAAAGUCAGUUCAUAAAACUAUAAUAAGAACCAACCACAGUAAGAAGUUAUUCUCCAGAAACGCAAGACUGCAACAAUCUUAUCAUAGUUGUAGUUUAUUCCGCUUAUUUUCUGAGACCAAGUGUUCACAAAGAACUCACACCACUUUCCCACAGCUACGCAUUUUAUUGUCUCCCCCCUAGAUUAAAAGUUUAAUUUCCAAACAAAAGAACAGUCAAUCCAAUUUCUUAAAGUAAUUUAAGAACAACCAUUGAAAUUCUGUUAUAGAGGGUAAACUAAACUUACACAUUAUUUUUAAUUUUGAAGCAGACAUAGCGAGAUUCAUAGUCUGUUUCUCCUCUGCGACACACAUAUGGAAACCUUCCUAUGGUGGAAACAGCAGAGAUAACUCCCAUAGCAUCUAAGUAAAAAUUAAAGGAAAAUGGUCAUAUAAGUCUUCAUAUAUAAUAAAUCUUGGUAUAAAACAUUUAAUUUCACAAAUUAUUACCAAAGACAGAGUUUUUAUCAUCUUCAUGAGCAUUUCUGACAGUAUCAGGCCAAACAAAGUUCCAGUAAUUGUUCCAAGACUUAGAUCUAACAGGCCACAUGGUAGUUCCACUCAAAAACUUAACCUGAAGUGGCAUAGUUGAAUAUCUGACUUGGUUUUUAGGUAUGAUGACUUGAAAGUCAGUCAUGUAGUACCAAACGUCUUGUUUGAGUCCUCGCUGAAAGUUCCAGAGGUAGUAACCUUGUGGAAUUGUUGCGUCCAUUAAAUUCCCCUAUACAAAGGAAAGAAACAAAUUAGAUAAGUAGUUUUUCAACCCUAGAACAUGAUUUUAAAAAGGUGUAAAACAGAACAAUAGAAUUAGAAACAAACCUUCUCAUCUGCGAGAAUCAUUGUAGUUAGAUCACCAUUGAAAGGAGGAUUAUGAUGCCAGAUACUCAUUAUCUUAACACAAACCCUCCACUUUGUGGAAUGUCUUCGCAAAUCAGAGAGAAGGUGCAUUUUCUCCAUAGUUUCUAAAAGAUUUUGUUUUGCUUUCAACUGGGAAGAUAUCUCUGUAAAUCUAAAAUCUCUCAACGCAUAUAUAUAGAUAUAGAUAUAUUGGUUAAGAGACGCAAAGGAUUAAAAUAAAAAGAAAAGGAAACUGAAUCGUUAAUAGAAUAUAUAAAAUAUAAAAAUUUGAAAAGACUGAUGCAAAUCAUUGCUAAUUAUUACAAAAGGAUACAGUUUACAUUUUUCAAGAUACACCCAACGAUUUAGAUUUGCCUAGAUUGUAUAAACCGUCAAAUAUGGAAGUUUCUUUAGUUUUUGUUAUUCAUGAUAGAUUUUUUAUAUAAUAGAUUAUAUAUAAGUAAAAUAUAUAAGUAAAUAUGUACUUAAAUAAUAGUAUCGAUUUUUUGUAACAGGAUCUAGAUUUGCCUAGAUUGUAUAAACCGUCAAAUAUGGAAGUUUCUUUAGUUUUUGUUAUUCAUGAUAGAUUUUUUAUAUAAUAGAUUAUAUAUAAGUAAAAUAUAUAAGUAAAUAUGUACUUAAAUAAUAGUAUCGAUUUUUUGUAACAGGAUCUAGUUUUUGCUAUUUGUUAGUUACAAUUAUAAUGGUACUGAUGCUAGAUAAUUCUAUGUUUACAGACCAGGCAACAUCUUUAAAGAAGGCAAAUGUGAAAGCAAUGAUAAAGCUAGUCCAGCUUCUGAAAGCACUGAUAAAGGUUAGUGAGGUCUAAAUGAUUCAAGAAGUAUUUAGAUCCACAAUUAAAUAUGAAGUUGUCGUGAUGUGUUAAUUGUUUUUCGAAAAUGAUUUUACUAUAUUCUCUGUUGACAUGUAUGUUAAAUUCUGCAAUUGGUUGAUAAGAUAUUAAAGUAAUACUACUUGUUUAUAUGAAUUAACAGAAUAUUUAGAUUCUGUAUAUGUUUUUGGAAUUAGUAAACUUUUAAUAGUUUACCUUUUUGUACUUAAUAUGAUUUAAAUGUAAAUGAAAAAUUAUUUAAAACAAAGUUAUGCUGAUAUUAAUAAUCAAAAUUUCUGAAUCUAUAUUAUUAAAAGAGAAUUGAGAGAAUAACAGACCAAGUUUGGUAAAAUAAUCUCUUCAAUGGAAGUCGUAGAUUGAAGAGAUUACUACCAAAUUUCCAUUUCCAUACCAGCUUCUACCUGUUCAGACAACCAAUAAGAAAUUAGUAAAGUGUAACAGGUGAAAAUAAUAAUCAGUUUUUAUUGAUUGUUACCUCUUAAACCAAAUGUCUUUUGCAAUGUGUAAGCUUAUAGGUUCUGAAAGACUUCCUUAAACACCACAUUCAACGUUUCCUUGUGCGGCUUUCCUUCUUUGUCCACUAUGAGUAUCUUCAGUCCUUUUUUUGAAGUUACCCUUGAGAUAGCUACAUAGAGUUGGCCAUGAGAAAAGCAUGGCCUUGGUAGAUAGAUGCCAACCUUAUUCAACGAUUGUCCCUGGCUUUUAUUAAUGGUCAUAGCAAAAGCAACUGCUAUUGGAAGUUGUCUUCGACGCAUUUUAAACGGAAGUUUAGUAUCAGAUGGAGAUAUCAAUAUCCUGGGAAGGAGGACUUUAUCUCCGACUCUAUCACCUGUAAUAAUGACAGCCUCAAUGACUUUAUCACCCAUUUGUGUUAUUUGCAGUCUAGUGCCAUUCAUUAGCCCUCCUCUUGGAUCUAAAUUUCGUAGUAACAUCACAGGACAACCAACUUUCAACCUUAUACCAUGAUUUGGCAAUCCAGAUAUCUUUAGACCGUUCAAAAACUCUGAUGUCAACACGGGAUUAUUUGUACCUCCAAUAUCAGAAGGAUCAACAGAAUCUGAACUUAGGUAUAGUUGUUCAUCACCUACAAAUAAUUUAAAAUGUCUUUAUAAUACAUCAUAUCUCAAUGAAAUGCCUAAAAUAUUAAGAGUAGUGGAGACUAACCUUCGAGUUGAUCAAGCAUAUAAUCGUUGACAAUACCCACAUCUUCAUUGGUAGGACAUAAAAUAGCCCUUUGUUGGAAAAAUACAGGAUCGGUUUCAUCCUUCAAUAACUUAGGAUCUCCAUAAACUUCCCUGCUUAUUGCCUCAAUUGGAUUAUCAGCGUUUGUGAUCAAAAACUCUUUUGGAAUUUCUAUCAUCACUUCUCCAUCAUUAGGCUGUGCUAUCUUACCAUCACCAACUGCUAGAAUCCACUCUGAAAAUUCUUUUAUAUCCUUAGCCUCACUUGGACUCAAAUCCUUUGAAAGUAGCCUCAUAUUUUUCGUGAGUUUCAGAACUUUGCAAUGAUUCCAAAGAUAAGAAGCAUUAAGUGCAGCCAUACAAAUUUCUGCUCUCGAAGCACCAUGUAUCACAGGUAGUACUUGUCUGAAAUCUCCACCAAAAACAACUACUUUGCCACCAAACGGUUUGUUUCCACCACCUUUAAUAAUGUCUUUGAAACUCCUAUCCAUAGAUUCAAAACAAUGCUUACUCAUCAUUGGAGCUUCAUCCCAAAUUAUCAAAGACGCUUCUUCUAUUAAUUCUGCCUGAUUUGAACCUUUCUCAAUAUUACAUACAGUGAAGUCGUCUGGAUUUAUUGGAAUACCAAACCGAGAGUGCGCUGUUCUCCCACCAGGUAACAAUAGAGAAGCAAUGCCGCUGGAAGCCACAUUUAGCACAAUAGAACCUCUAGAUCUUACAGAAGCUGAGAGUGUCGUAUAUAUAAAAGUUUUACCAGUUCCACCAAAGCCAUAGACAAAGAAGACACCUCCCUUGUCAUUAUCAACAGCAUCGAUGAUCUCUAAAUAAACACUCUUCUGCUCAUCUGUCAUUUUCUGCAACGAUUCUUCAAGUUUUUCCUUCUGUUCAUUGCUAUCGUAGCUUUUUUCAUCAAGUAUCAAGACAUUACUAUCAUCAAUUUCCUCAUCAGGUAACUGUGGCAUUGUUCUGAAAGCUGUUAGAGAUGUUCCAUUGCUUCGUAAGAUGCUGUUGAUUUCUUUUAAAGCCAACAUCUGUUUUUGCUCGUCCGUAAGUGUUAGUUCUGUGUCCCAAAAAUAUGUAAAAAAACAGUGUUAUUUGUAAGACAGAAUAAUCAUGACAAAAACUACUUAAAAUUGCAAAGUAACAACUCUUUAAACCAACCAAAGAGACUAAAUUAUUUGAUCAAAAAUUACCUGGUCUUUUAAAGUACUCUCUCCUUUUUCUUUCGAUGUCUUCUGAUAGAAGUUCCCAUGUUUUUUCCCAAACAACUUCUGGUUGAGAUAAGCUGGUAGACUGGAGCAUUACAACAAACAUACAACGCAAGUAGUUUCCAGUAGCCCAAAAACUGGUUGUCUUUAUUGUAUCAAUAUACUCCUGGUCAUCGUCAAGCAAACCCAGAGCAUAACAUGCCUCCUUGAACGAUUUGUACACCACGCCAUUCACUGUUUUGAUGUCUUCGAAACUUUCAGGUCCAGUUUGAUGAUUUAGAAGCACUCUUAAAUAAUAACCUUCCUCAUAAAUAAGUGGGACAUAAUUAAUCCUUCCGAUUGUUUUCCCUGGUCGCUUCCUCAUAUUGAAAGUUCUUGUUUUACCAUCCCAAGUAUAAUAUUCCGGAAUCUGAGUAUAUGUUAGAUCUUUGGCUUUAGGACACCGCUUGUUCAAUUCAAACCAAGCAAGAAACAUCGAAUUCUGUAAUUCUGAUUUUUUCAAAACUGUUUUCACCUCAUCAUCACCUUUAAAAUAUAAUAGUUGUUUGCCUGGUAGAUGGAAGGAUAAUCUUUGAACAGACGUUGACCUAUAAUGUAUAGGAUUUUUCAAGAUUCUCCAUCCAGCUUCACAUGCUGAUACAUAUCUGAUACAAUAUCAUAAAACAUGUAUUAGUUAGAAAUGAGUUAAGCAUCUAAACUAUUUACCUAAAUCCAAGUAGAUUUUAUACCUGCAAUUAAAGAAGUCUUGUAUUUCAUUUUUACUUGUGCCCCCACUGUUUGAACUAUCAGACUUCUCUGUAGUAGUUGUAGUCUUUGUAGACUUUUCAUUAGGCUCAACAACUACUGAAACUCUGUCCAUCCCUUUAGUGAUAUACUUGAAUAAAUACUUGAUAGAGCCAGUUUGGUUACACCACUCAACAUUAAUAUGAGCUCUGUAGCGAAGCAGCAACUUCUUGUUAUAGGGUAUAACAUAUCCGUUGUCACACCUAAAUCCACACUUCUCCACAAACAGCUUUGUCUUUCUUCUUCUGUACAAAGGGAAACCUUCUUUAUCAACUUUAGUAUGUUCUCUAAGUUUUUUUGGGAAAAACUUAGAACAUUUCCCUUCAAGCAUACAUGGUGAAUUCUGGUUGACGACGCCACAUGGUCCAUGAAUCAUCAUGUCUUUUACGACCUCAUAAAGUUCUGGUUCUUUAGUCUUGUCAGGAAUUUCCGCAGAAAUGAUUUUAUCAAUGUCUUCUGGUUUUGGAAACUUAGAACUUGGAUGCAUCCAUAUCAAUAUAUGUGCAUGAGGAAGACCUCUUUUCUGGAACUCAAUUGUAUACAUUGCUGCGAGAACAACAUGAGAUAAUAAUAUUAGUUAAACGACAUUUAGAAAAAUAGCAGAAACAGAUAAUUAAAUUAUAGACUGUUAACGCAACUAUUAAAAUAAAUCACUUACAUGAAACAGUCUUCCCCAAUAUAUGUUUCUUCGUUAAAUCAUCCAUUAGAGAAUUCAGCUUCAUUUUGAACAUUCUGCUUAUGAUCUCUGGCCUAUCAUCGGAAUUACAAUUUCUAUCAGUACAAAAGCUUACCAGCUCAGUCCAUUUUGGAUUGCAUGUGAACGUAAUGAAUAGGUCAGGAAAUCCAUAAUGAUUACAUGUAGACAUUGCAUCCAUGUACAUGUUCUUCAUGUAUCUUGGCCCACCAACAAAAGUAGCUGGUAGAUAAAAUGCUUUUCCUUCUUCAUUCAUAUCUGUCUUUCCUGCUGUUGCCGCCUCUUUAACUGAAUCAUAGUUAGUAGCUCGUAAACUUGACUGAUUCAGUUUAAUAUAUUUGAGCCUAUUAGCUUCAAUGGUGGUAUAAGCAUCAACCAAGAACUGCUGGUACAACCGUUUGGACCUUAGCAGGAUACUUUGUUCAUUCUUUCUCUCUUGUAUACGAUACGCAUACCAUUGACGCAAACUUAUGCAAUCAUUCUCCUCAGUUCCUUCGGGCUUGUUUUUCUUUUUACCAUGGUUAUUCCCUUUCUGAAUACCUGUCCUAUAACCAUCUUCACCCUUUGGAAACAAUAGAGGGUAUUGUAGAGCAAGAUAACAUGGUUCUAUUUCACUGAUUCUUUGUAAAUACCCAGAUUUUUCUUCAAUAAUAAUGUCACGACUUGGCAUACCAAUGUGAAAAUCACCUGGAAUCAGCGCUGCGACCUCCGAAGCUGUUGGCACUGCAUAUGUUCUUCCAUCUUUGACACGGUCACUCACUAUUUUCAUAUGAAAGCUCUGUUCAGGAUUGGUAUUAAACCUAUCACGAGCUUGUCUAAAAUGAGCAACGUAUGGAUUAACUUCAUUUAGCAGCUUUAUUAUCGCCUCAAUUAUUUCUUUUCUCAACUCUGACUUCUUCUUAUAUUUCCCAGCAGAUUUUCCUUUGCUGAAAUAUUAAUUUAGUUAGCAACGACACUAAUACUUACAGAAAAAAACACAAAGUCUGGAUACUGUGAUGGCUUGUUUUGAGUUAGAAAAUGUACCUUAAAAUUCCUGCUCUGUUUUCAACUUCAUUCUCUGUGUCAACUAUAUAUAGCUGACUAAACUUAGGAAAUUCACCUUCUCCAGGUUUCAAACUUCCCAUCUGGUGGUAAUUCUCUCCUUGUAUCUGAAACAUAUUAGGACCCCUUCCCGCUGUAACAGAAUUAUCACACUUACCCCCAAGAGAAGUAAAUGAAAAAAUCAUGUUAUAUGCUCGGAUGUUCUCUCUAAAGUGUCUACUCAUGUCAUCAUCAUUGGUUAGCAAAGCAAAUAACAGUUCUGGUUGAUUAUGGAGGAAAGGCAGUUUCACAGAUCCUUGCAGACAACAUUGAGUAAAAAUUGGUUUACGAACUUUCUUAUGUCUGUUGAUGCGUUCGCCAUACCACAUAAUAGCACCGCAGUAGGAACAUGAGUAGACAGGAUCUCCAUGAUCUAGAUACUCUACAAUAACGGGAAUAAGUUUAGCAUAAGUAAAGUUUGUGUAAGAAAAGAAUUAGAAAUAAACCAAUGAUGUAGUACCUGUGUUUUUGUUCUUUCUGAUAGAAACAUUAGGAGUUUUUAUUUCUCCAAAAGCUUUGGUCAAACUUUCAUCUAACAUUGAUAAAAACUCAUAUCUUUGUUUGACUUCGAUUGGGAUAUCGUCUAUGGUUUCAUAAUCUUCAGAUGUUUCUGAAUCAUUUUCAUCGAUGGUACUCACUAUUUAAUUGAAACACGAUCCAGCCCUUUAGUGAUAAACUUGAAUAACUUUUUGAUAGAUUGAUUUUGGUUGCACCUACUAACAUUACCUGAUCAAUAGAGAGGUCAUUACGUUGGUCAGUCUGCUGGUCAGAAUCUUCAAUAGUAUCUAGAUUGUCAGAUUCAUUACCCAGCCAAACGGUUGAAACCUUGUAGGUAUCAUCAGUUUCAUUGAUGUUUUCCUUUCCAACAGUCACCAGAAACUGGAAAGUCUUUCCAACCAAAUCUCUGAUUGGCUGAGGCAAGUUUGUAGGAUCCUGAAUCUGUUAUGAUAGAUUGAAAAAAGUAUAUAAGAUAUUUGAAUAAUAUGGUCUAUAUACAUAUUAACAAUAAAUUUGUUUACCUCAUCCCACUUCCCUUCCAGCAAAUCCUCUGCAGACACACCGAUUAUCUCUUGUGCACUUUUAUCAAAGAUAAGACAUUUAGUGUCUCCAGUGCUAUCCAUCACUCCAACGUUUAAAAGAUACCUACAUAUCAAAGGAACAGGAAAGUAGAUUAUGUACCUAGUUAUUAUCUGACAAAUGUAGAUAUAUAUUAGCAAAUCUCAAAGUCUUACCUUGGUAUCACCUUAGGAGUGUCUUCCUUACAUGUUGGACACCAAAACAUUUCUUUCUUGCCUUUCUUGACAAUCUCAUUUUCAACCUUUGGAAUCUUAUAGGCAGUUUUGCUACACUUGAGGCAACUAAAGAAAUACCAAGAAUAGUCUGUGUCGAUAUUCAUUAUGGUACAAAUUAUGUUGCACUUUCCAGUCUAUUACAAAAAAAUAGAUAAUUAGUAGUAUAGACAGAGAAUUUAAUAGUUUCUAGAAAAAAUAAUAUUAUCCAAUACAAAUACCUCAGCAAAACAAAAGAGUCCAGAGAUGGUUUUCCUUGGAAAACGAUCAUAGUAAUCCUUUUUUCUCUGUUCUGCAUUCACUUGUUUUGCCUUCGAGUCUUCGAUAGUCAGUGGAAUAACAUCCGGUGGUAAACUAUUUUUAACAAAUAAAAGAACACGAAAUCAACUUUAGAUAUUAUAAAAAGGAUUAACAGUUAUCUAUAUUAGUAAAAGAAAUGUGAUGUUUAAACAUAUCUUACUUGGCCACAAAAUCAAGAACAGCAGGGUAGGUAGCAUUGAUUUCCAAUAGAGACAUAUCAAAUGAAUUUGAAACAGCUCUUUCACCUACAAACAGCAUGAUAUUAGUAUUUUCACAUAUGUUCUGAUUUCAUUUCGAUUUCAAAAUCAUCCAUUAUUCCCAGUAACAACAUUCUAUACCUUUAAAUGAGUUGAUCUUUGCAAGCCGAAGUAAGCAUAUCACUCUCUCAGUCCCUGCAUUUUGACAUGCAUUAUACAUUGCCUCAGCAAAUCUCCCCCAAAGAGUGCAUUUCAGCCUUUCAUCACUACAAUACAACAAAAAUAUUGAGAAAGUUUUAAGUUUAGAUGUAUGUAAGAUUAAAUAAAAAAGGUAGAUUCAUGAUAAAACUUACUUUGUGUCUCUGAGUUCACACUCAAGUCUCUUUGUGAUCUUGUUAUUAACAUCAUGAAUUUUCAUUUCAUUGAAACUAACUACCUGUCCAAGUACAUCUGCAAAAUAAGAGAGUAAUAUAUUAUAUUUUCAUGAAGAAGUUCCUAUUAUAAUAGAAAAAGAAAAUAUACAAUGGAAAGUAAGAUAGAUAUAGUACCAAUUAAGAUGUUUUCACUCAAUCCUGCUUCAUUCAAAAUAUCUGGAAAGUUUGCCAGAUCCACAUAAAUGUCAUCAGAAACAGAAGGAGUGCGACUUAUCACAGUUUUUUCCAUCAUGGACAUUUUGAAACCAUGUUUUGUGGCUCGAUACUUUCCUGUUGAUUUGGUUAGCGUAAAAUGCUCGAUAAUACGCCAUUCUCCAGAAACUAUGAACCUUUGCAGUUUGCUCACUUGUGGCUUCUUAACAGUAGCAUGAAUCAAAGUACCCUGGCAACAGAUAAAAAGAACUCAUGUUAAUCAUCCAGUGAUAUUGAUGAUUGAUAAAUGUUUAAUAUGUUUCAAAAUGAUAGUUCUUAUACUUACAGCUGUAUCAGCAAGAACCAUUUCAACUGUCUCCCCGGUGAAUUGAGUGUAUUGUGUCCACGAAUGCACAAUCUUAACUUGAAUUUUCCAAUGUGUUUUGAAGGGCUUAAUGUCAGCAAGAGGGGUGAAUGCUUGAAUAGCUGCCAUUUUAUUAGAGAAAUAGUGAAGUGGUAAUGGUAAAGCUUUGAAAGGUGAGUUCUUUCUAAUGCAGGUCCCUAUAUUUAUAGUAAUCAUAUGGAGCAUUUAGUUUUAUUAGGUUUUAGAGAAUAUAGGCCGUAUAAUAUAUUUUGGGAUUAGGAUCUUAAAGAUAUAUGCUUGAUUUAGGGAGAUUUAUUUGUUUGGUAUAUCAAUAUCGAACUGAAUAUGGAUAUUGUAGAGAUUGUGUGAGUUUGAAUACCAACUACUAAGGGAAAUAUAAUAAGUUAGAAUUAUAUAUCUUUCAAUAUAGAGAAAUUUGAAUGAUUGAGUUUUGCAUGUAAAGAAAUUUUUUAAAAUUGGCAUUGAUAGUUUGUGUUGAUAUGGAAAGAUCUUUGCGAGAUUUGGGCGAUAAUUAUCGAAUAGGUUACAAUAUUGUAUCUUUCCUAUUAAUAUAGGGUAAUAGGAAUUAAUAAGUUUUGCAUUUAAUUUGCCGUCUAAAUAUAUAUUUUUACAUUGGAAUGAACUGUUUCCGGUGAUAUGGUAAGAUUUUUGCGAGAUUUGAGUGUAAUUAAUCAAAAAAUUAAUUGCUAACUUAUUCCCGAUUUAGAAUAAGUAAAGAAUAUGCUUGAUUUGUUAUUAUAUGGAAUAGAAAUAAAUACGUUUUAUUUUAGGAAGUGUAAAUUAUGAGAUUUGUUUGUUAAAGCAAUAUACAGAGUAGUUGAUUGAUCCGGAAAAAUAGUUAUGGUAUUGUUUGAUUUGUGUUGCUAAUGUUUUUAUUUCGUAUUAUCUAUACAGAUUCGGAAAUUUGAAGUAAAAGGGAUUAACGAUGGGCCUGUAGGAAAUAUCUAAGCCCAAUAGGAAAUAUAGAAUCUCAUCGGGUCAGAUUCACAGACGCAAAAGAUCCGAGUGUAGGAUCCGGGAUCCGCGUCUCGCGUGCGGGAAUUUUACAAUUUUACCCCUCCACGCAAAUUUUUAUUUUGUCUUUGAAAUUUUAAUUGUAAUGGCAUUCUCUUGUAAUUAUUUACACUUGGUAAGGUUAUUUUUCAUGUAAUCCUUCCCAAUUAAUAGUAUAGAUAAUUAUGACUUGUGUGAAAUGAUUGUACGGUUUGAUAUAAGUUAAUGUUUUAGUUUAAUAGUUGAAUUAGUCAAACUAACUAUUAGAGGCAACGUACUAUGUACACGCAACAGUAAAUAAACAAGAAAAAUACCUUUUUCGUCAAAAUUUUAAAAAAUAGUUUAAAUCAUAUUGUUGACUCUAAAUUAAUUUUACACCAAUAAAUUGCAUGGAUUGAUAAUUUCUUAAUAAAUAAGAUAUGACUUUAAUUUCUUAUAAGCGAGAGGUUGCCAUUCAAACUUACCUUCAUUUGUUAAAUAUAGACUUGGCAAUAAAAAAUUGCAUGAACAGAAAAAUCCUCCAAUAUUAUUGCGAGGAAGAAAAUGACGUCUCUAUGACUCUAUAUAUGUACAUAUAUGGUACGUUAGACUAGGUACACAUGCAGCUUGAUAGAGAAGACGAAGAAGAAUGGGUUCGAAAAUAUUGAGUAUUGGUCUUAUUCUAUCUCUGUUUCUUCUUUGCUUCUCAUCUGAAAUUGGAGUCAUUGAGGCUACUAGCCGAAAAUUAGGUGAGUAAUUGAUUUCUAAAUCUUCUUUUAAUAUUAUCUUAGCUUCAUUUAUGUAUACACUUGUAAAGUUUGUGUUCAAACUUAAUAUAGAGAAAGCAAAAAUUGGCACUCCACCAUCUAAAACAUGCCGAGGUAAAACACGAGGAGGAGGAUCAUCUUCUCGAGGGUGGAGGAAGAGACCGUGUCCACGUCUUGCUUGAACAUCCACAAUAAACCCUUGAAUAAGAAGAAAAAAAAAAGAUCACUCGUUCAUGUUACGUUACCAGUGAAACUGUUGUGCACCUGCAGUGACUUUGAGUUAUCUCACACUGUUGUCCAUUUAUAUAUAUAGACCAAAUAUUCAUACAAUAAAUCUUCAAACUUUGAGUUAAAAUUAAACGAAAGAUACAGAUUUUUGUUUUGUUGUUUAUGUUGAACAAAAAUUAAAUGAAUGAUAAAUUAAAAAAAUAAAAUAAAAUAAAAAAUGUAACAAUGAAUAAAAGCAUUAGACACCAAAAAAUCUCGAGGUUAUCAUAAAUUGUCUAAAGCGGAUAAACUAUAUAGAAAAUUUUUCGAAUAAUCGAUCUAGAACUCUAACCACUAAAUAUGAUUGAGUAACUAUAAUUAAUGAUAUCAACGACGAGAUCUAAAAAUCAAGAAACUUAACCAUUGUACGUUUUAGUUCUAAGAGAUAAUCUACAUAAUUGUUCGAGUUAAUAUGUUGGGAUGACGAUGUAUUUCCCCCCCAUAACUUUCGUAUAGCACCACUUCCACCCAAAGUUUCACUCUCUCUCUCUUUCUCCCCAGAAUCAAAGUUCAAAAAUUAUUUCUCCCCAAAUCUAAAAUUCGAUACAUAUCUUCACAUAAUGGUUGGUUUACUGGGUUGACGACGUAAACCCGAUACGAAACCAAAAAACCCAUAGGCCAAACCGAAUUGAAAACCAGAAUCGAGUUAAUACCCGACCCGUAACCCGUGAUAUCAACAAUUGUUCAUAAAUCCCCAAAUUGAGAAAUCACAGAACCCUAAAAAAGCUUUGAAUUCAAAUCACCACAUCAAAGCUCCGAUAUCAAAUCAUCACAUCGAAGCUCUGAUUUCUUGCAUCACAUUGAAGAUUUCAAAGUAAUUUCAAUGACGCCUUGAUACACUUACGUAUUAACCGUCUUCCUCCUCGUUUGAAGUCAAAUCAUUAGGUGUCACAAGCGAAGACAAUAAAGGAAGAGAAGAAUCUCCCAAAAUGUAACGAGGAACCAAUACUCCAUUCCCAAGUUUGGUCGGAGCUCCAUUGAGAAUUAAACCCGAAUCUGUGAACAAGAGACUUGUAAAAAGCAUCGUGAGCGAGACAGAACAUUGUGACCAAGUUUGAAGAAAUGGAUGAUUGUUGUUAUUCUAUGUUGUAAGAUCUUGAUUGGUUAAAAAAAUGCUUGGUUGAUUCGAUUGUGAUCUAAUGAUGUUACUGAAAAAAAUGCAUUCAACAGAAAGAAAAAAAAAGAGAAAAUGGAAGUUAAAAUUGCAUUCAAUAUGCAUAUUUUGUCUCAGACCAAUAACAUAACAAAAAAUAGUUGAGAAGAAUGAAAAAUAGACCCUUAAAACAGACCAAAAGCUUUUACAAAAAAAUAGACCAAAAGCUUCUUCUACCCUCCCUCCAAGCUCAGUUCAAGCUCAUUUCCUGCGUGACAGUUCCUUGAGAAGGUUCACCUUGAGGAACCUGUAGUAACAACACAAAUAAAAUAAGUUAAACAAAGCAUAUAAAACAUAGUAUAUAGACACAUUAGAUAAUGAAACACAAACCUCUUUCUUCUUCUUAUGAAACCUAGAGUUGUGAUUAGCCGCACCACAUACCCCACAAUGCAUAACUCGUUUCAGAAGCUUUGGUUGCUUCUUUAAAGGAGACUCAUUUUUUCCUUUCUUUCUUUUCACCUUCUUACUCUUUUUUUUCCUGCCAGGCUGUGGAGGCUCAGGAGGUGGAUGCACUGGAGGAGCUGUUCUAACAGGCCAAAACCUUGCACCUCUUAAUGGAACUAGACCCUCUGUGUAGUUCCUCUUCCACUGGGCUGUACGAAACCAGUGGCAGACGUAAUCCUCGGCUUUAAGUUUCAACUUAAGGAUAACACCAUAUGCAUGUACACAUGGGAUUCCUGUGAUCUCCCAUUUCCUACAGCUACAAGUCCUCUGAUUCAAACUCACACGGUAAGAACAACCAGACAACAUAGCUAAAAACAUUUUAUUUGUACUUCUGUGAACCUUAACUUCUGCAGCAUCUUCAAGCUCUUUUGCAAGAUAUGCUUCCACAUAUGGUGUACAUAAACCCUUGUGAUCAUGAGAUUUAACACUUCUUUUGGCAAUACGUACCAUUGCAAGUCGAGCAAUCAUUUCUAACAUAGGCACCAGUGGCUUCUCUCUUGCUUUGACUAUCGUAUUGUUAAAUGAUUCUGUGGAGUUGUUCUCAACAUCUUCAACAUAGUGGCCAAUUUUGUAGAAAGCUCUACACCAACUCAUUGGGUUCUACUUCAUCACAUCCUCAUAAACACCCAUAUCAUAUUGCUUCAAUUUCUCUAGGUUUUCUCUAUACUCAGCCUCAUUGUAACUCCAUGCUAGAUUCCAGAUAAAAGGCUUCAUCUGUGAUUUCUUACCAUGAUUUGCCUUUAAAUUUCCAUAUAUGUGUCUCACACACAUCCUAUGUUCAAUAUGGGGUAACUCUAUCUCCACAGCUCUAAUCAAUCCCUGUCACUGUCGGGAAUGACAUCGUGACGAAUACACGGCUCAUCAAUGAAUUCGAUUACUGCUUGCUCGAUGUUGAAAUCAUUUCGUGCGGUUUGGUCUUCUAGAUUUUCAUCAUCGGGUUCCUCAUCAAUAGGAACAUCGUUCAUCUCGCUCUCUAGAACUGACAUCGAUGAAGAUCAAUGAACUUGCAGGUUUUGGUUUCGUGAGGAAGGGUUUUUGAUAUGGGGACAUUUAUAAGUUGAGGGAUUUUAUGAUUUGGGUAUUUAAUCGGGUUUGGGUUUCGAGUUAAAUUUGUUUAGGUUUGGUUUAAGUUUGUUUAUGCUGGUUAAAACAAGAUUAGUCUACAGUAAACCAACAUUAACCCAACUUUAUGUGAAAAUUAGUUUUGAACUUUCAUUUUAUGUUGAAAUAGGUUUUUAACUUUAUAUCUAGGGAGAAAUAAUUGUAGAACUAUGAUUCUGGGGAAAAAUAGAGAGAGUGUAAAACUUUGGGUGGAAGUGAUGUUAUACGAAAGUUUUGGGGGGGAAUUACCUUGUCGUUCCUAAUAUGUUUACAAACUGUCUUAGAAAUAUAUAAAGCCCUUUUAGAGAAGUUUUGCUCAUCUAUGUUAUUUUCGAAAAUUUAUCUAACACAUUUAGUGCGUUAAUUCACGUAAAACCAUAACCUAGCUACCAACCCCGGUUCUAAAUAUAUUUGGACAUUUGGGCAAAAAAAAUUUUUUUGGAUUUUUUUGAAUUUUUGGUUAAAAUCGGGACUAUUUUGUAAAUAACUUUUGUCUUAUUUUAAAUUUUCAAAAAAAUAUACAGGCCUUUUUAUGUAAAAGAAUAUAAUUUUGAAAAUUUUGGGCCUAUUUAUUAGAAAAUUUCAUGUCUAUUUGCAAUUGUUUUUCAAAUAUGGGCCUUUUUCAUAAAUGUUUUUAACAAAAAUCUAUGGUCCCCUCGGCCACUGCCCCUCUGUCCACUCUUUUUGGUCCGGGCCUACUAGCUACUUACUUUAAUUUUUGCAUUGUGAUUUACUAGUGACAAAAAAUUCUUAAGAGUAAUGUUGUAAAUCCUAUCUUUAAUAUAUUCGAUUUUCUCUGAUUGUUUGCUCAGAUCUCACAAAUCGAUUUAGAACCUCAGCUCAAGAACACGAUUAAACAAGAAACAAUAAAGAACCUGAAACUCAAUUUGUUAACCCGAUUCAGCGAGAUCGUUGUGAUCACGCCUACAUCCGGAGCCGAAUCAAUCCGGCAAAUUCACUAGAAUAAGAAGGAAUCAGCUCAAAUCCGACCUUACAAUAGUCAAACAAUGGUGGUUCUCUUUGCUCUCUCUCACUCGAUACAAGAACAAAGAAAUAUGAAAGUGAUUAUGAAGUUAAUGAAGAAGAAACUUAUAUCAUGUAUGAUGUAUCUCUGUAUAAAACAUAAGACCCUCCAGGGGCGGAUUUAGAACUAUAUUUAGUAUAGGGCAUUGUUAUAACUAAUAAUUAAAUUAUAGAGCAUUUAAAUAAAUUUUACACUAGUUAUUCAAGAAAAUUAAAAAUUUAGAGUGGGGCAUAUGCCACACCUAGUCUCUUCUUGCAUCCGCCUUCACUGCAGUUUAAGAUUUCUCUUGACUUUAUCACAUUUGUCGGUUUAAUCAGCAAUCUCCAAAACCGGAAAUAACCACAUGGUUCAACUCUUAUUGAUCCAAUCAGACCGACGAGACCAACCUGAAAUUGAAUCAGACAUAUAAACCAUGACACUCCACCUUGAUUCAAUUUCCUUCCUUCUAUAGCAAAUUUGCACUGACCAUGGAUUUAACCUCCGGCAAAGACGACUUCUCGUUAUAUUUAGAAUUUGAAUCAGUCAUAUGCCACUGCCAGCUUGCCACUCAAUACAAAAUUAUAGUAAAAACUGGUCGUUACUAUAAAUAAUUAUUAUCUUGGAUUUUCUUCGCGAUAUUCGAUUUUUAUGUUUAUUUGAGUUUAUUAGGCUUUAUUGUAUAUAUUGUUAGAACUUAUUUUGAUUAGUUGCGCUGGACUAUUUUUUCAGGUAAUUUUCAAAAUUGAAGUUCGUUUGAAUGAGAAAUGGAGAUCCAAAAUAAUUAGCUUGAAAAGCUUAAGAUUUUGACUAAAGGUCAAAGUGAUUAUUUUGGAUGUUAGAGGAGAAACCCAAAUACACAUGGGCUGGAUUUGGGUUUGAGACAUGGGGUUUUGACUUGUGUUAGUCAAACACAAUUGUCUUCUCCUUUAAUUUGAUUUUGUAACAUUUGUGUUAAUGACAAAAUCAAUUAGAAAUGUGUAACCUAUGAGCAUUGAUCAUGAGAUUAAUGGUGGAAGAUUUCCUCUCUCCAAGCAAGACAUUAAAUGUCUUGACCUAGUCUCCAAAUCUUUUGUAGACUAUAAAAGAGAGAGUCUUGGGUCUCAUUCAUAUGAUGGAUCAAAAAGAUCACAAUCUCUUUCCUCAUCUUUUCUCUAGUUAUCGAGUCUGAGAGUAUACACAUCACUAGAGUUCGUUAGCCUUCUGAUUUUGAGUGUUGCAAAUCAGAAGAUGGUGCGGUUGUAUCCUGAGAUUCUGAUUGCAUCAAACCGUCACAUUAUGGACAAUUAAAGAAUUAAGGAAAGACUGUCUCGCCUCCAUACAAACUGUUCUUUUUUAUCAAAUAUUGAUAUCGUUGCUGUAUUUUUAUUAUGGUUUUUAUCAUCAUCUAUUACAAUCAUUCAGUUUUGCCACAUCGUAGAAAUCGUUGUCUUACUUAUGUUGGUUGGAUUUAUACGGAAUUUGAAUUGAUCACGAACUAGAGUAAAAUUCAACACGCCUUCUUUUUCAUAUCGAUUUUGUUUUGCGGAAUAACGAAGGGAGAAAAAAAAAAGUAAUCUGGAAAUUAGAAAAAAUACAUUGAAUACCAAUAUAACUACUUUUUCUUGUGAUCUACGUCUUUGAGGAGACAACAUUCCCAUAAUAUAUUUAUCAAAGUACAAGAGCUUACAAAAAACAACACUGAUGAAUUUCAAUAUAUAUAACCGCGAAGGAGAUGAAGCUUUAAUUUGUUUAAUAUUAGAAGAAAAAAGUGCCAUUAUUCUAAAACGGUUCCUAAAUCCUAACAACCCGUUUGCAAGUGACUCCCUCGUAAGCUACUUAAUGCCCCAAUUCUGUUAAUGCUCUAUAAAGUCUCUGAGUUCCAUUUGGGUAAAACUUGACCUCUCCUCCAGCAAGAGUAUUCUCCACACAAGGGCUAUUUAAUCCAAUGAUACAAUUUGAAUUACGUAAUGAAAAUAAAAAUAUGAAAAUUAAUUAACAAAAUAUAAAUAAUGAAUUGAAAAGUUACAUAUUAUAUAAAAAUGAUUAAAAUCAUACAAAAAUGAUAUCUGGACAUUAGAAAAGUAACAUACAUAAUAACCAAAUAGCUAAAUCUACUAGUCUGGCAUCUGCAAUAUGAAGAAAAAUUCGUAAAUAGCCUCAAUUUUUUUUUUUUUUUUUUUGACGAAAAAUUACCUCAAAAUCUUUAUAUUGAACAUCAUUAUCCUCCUUCAUUUCCGUCAUCACCUCAUUGCUUUACGAGAUGUUUCGUCCCUUGAUGCUUUUCUUGUCAGAUGAAUUUUCCCCAAAACGUUCCAAUCAUGGAACUCGGAGUGAUCGAGGAUGAAGUGGCACCGCCUUCGGAAUGAAUUCUAAGUCGUACCGACGGCCUUAUUCACUAAAACACUCUUUACAAAAAGUUAUAAUAGGGAGAAUUAAUAGUUAGAAACUAGUUAACUCACCAAGAUAGAAAAAAUUUACUUACUGAUUGGUAGACCUUGUCCAAAUUGGUUUUUGAUAUCUUUCGGGAUUGGAUUAACUUGACUGCAUGAAUCCUCAGAGAGCGAAAGCUUAGAUAAUUUCUUGUUAACCUUCUUCUUGACAACCUUGAUGAUGGUGUACUAAUUAAACCUUCUCGUUGACAAUUGUUCUGUUGGACUUCCUCUUAGAAGUCACCUUUAGAAGGGUGAUAUGAGGUAAUCUUUAGAAGCGUGGUAUGAGGAAGAAGUUCUCUUCUUCUUCUUCAAUCUCGAGCCAAUCCGCAUUUUCUCCCGCGAGCCCGAGUUGCUCGUGUGCGGCCAAAGCAUCCGCCGGGUCCAGACUUGUGAGCCCUAGCCGCUCGUCUCUGAUCAGUCGUCGUUCACUUUCUCCGCUUCUUCCUUGCUUCGCUGCCAGUGUGUGUGUGAGGAGAUAUAGAUAUCCAAGCUUCUAGUGUCUGAGAGAUGGAUCCAUAAUCUAGAUCUAAACCCUAAAGUUCCUAAAUCUUACAUCUCUGAAACCUUAGUUGUCAAAACUACUAGAUUUAAAAAAUGUGGUACAUUUGGCAAAAAUCCAUUUUUAUAAAACCAUUUGAUAUUAAUUUUAUAAUAAUAAGUUACAUGAUUUUGUGAUAAAAGAAAGUAUAUGUUGCAUACAAACGAUUUAAACAUUAAGCUAAUACAUUUCCAUUUUUUAUGAUUCAAGCUAACCAUAAGUUAAAAUUUUGUCUGAUUAAUAUUGUAUCAAUUAUAGUUUGCUUUUGUAUGUCAAACAAUAUUUUAGAAUUAAGCAACCUGGUUUGGUUUGAUCUUUGCAAUUUUCCAAUAUUAAAAACUUGGCACAAAAGCAUUUGAUAUUAAUUUUAUGGUAAUAUGUUGCAUACAAAUGAUAUGAUUAUGUGCUAAAAGAUAUGUAGAAUACAAAUUAUUUCAAAUAAGAUAAAUACAUUUCCAAAUUUUUUUAUGGAAAUUGUUUUAGUGUAUAAAAAGAAAAUAUGAUUAUUGGUCCAAAAAGAUAUGUGAUAAAAUAUUGUAUAAAUAUUUUACUUUUAUAUGUCAAAUAAAGUUCUCAUUUAUGAUCAUAUUAAAGUUCGUCAAAUCUUGAACUGAAAUAUCAUUAGAUUUUUUACAUUUUAAAUUUCAAUGAUGGCAAAAAGAAGUCCUCCAAUCUCACAUUUGCUUUUUGCGGAUGAUAGUCUCUUUUUCUGUAAAGCAGAUACAGAGCAGUGUAAAACGGUGAUGGAUAUUAUUGGAAAUUAUGGCAAAGCUUCAGGGCAAGAGAUAAAUUUCAAUAAAUCUUCGGUCAUAUUUGGUAAGCGUGUAGCACACCAAAAGAAAGAUGAACUAAAACAUUUCCUUGGUAUUACUAAGGAAGGUGGAAUGGAUACUUAUUUGGGUAUACCAGAGAGCCUAGGGGGCUCAAAAAAUAAAAUCUUUAAUUACGUUCGGGAAAGACUUAAUGAACGGAUUAAUGGUUGGUCAGCUAAAUAUCUGUCAAAAGGUGGGAAAGAGACUAUGAUCAAGUCUGUUGCUUUGGCUCUCCCAACAUAUGUUAUGUCUUGUUUUAAACUUCCUCAAGAGUUAACAUCUAAGUUAACAAGUGCUAUUUCUAAUUAUUGGUGGAGUUCUAAUGGGAAAGACCGUGGAAUUCAUUGGAUAGCAUGGGAAAAAAUGUGUAUGGAUAAAGAAGAAGGAGGUUUGAGUUUUCAUUCUCUAGAUACAUUUAAUGAUGCCAUGUUGGCUAAACAGUAUUAGAGGUUAAUCCAGUAUCCAAACUCAUUAGUAGCUCGAGUGUUAAAAGGUAGAUAUUUUAGGAAUGUUCAUCCUUUAAAUGCUAAAAAGCCAAACUCUCCAUCGUUUGGAUGGAAGAGUUUUUUUUCUACUAAAAGACUCGUUGAAAUGGGUGCAAGAUGGUCUCUUGGUUCGGGUUUUAACAUAUCGGUAUGGAGAGAUCCUUGGAUUCCCGAUGUUAAUCCACGCCCCGCAAAUGGCAGAGGGAAUUUGUUGCUUCCAAGCCUAAUGGUUAACCAUUUAAUUAAUCCGGUUACUAAAGAAUGGCACCUCCCAAUUUUAUAAGAAUUCUUGGAUCCGGUGGAUAUUCAAAUUAUUAGUGGACUAGCUAUUAGUCAAGUUUAUAAACCAGAUAGGCUUAUUUGGCAUUAUACAAAAUCAGGAAAAUAUACAGUAAAAUCAGGAUAUCGGCUUGCUCGAAGUUUGACAGAAACGACCGAAUGGGGUCCAAAUUAUAGAAAAUUACAAGCACAAGUUUGGAAAGUCAAAGCUCCACCAAAAAUAAAACAUUUCUUAUGGCAAAUUGCUUCGGGAUCCUUGGCAGUUACCUCAAAAUUAGCACAACGAGGGAUUCAUUGUGAUAUUAUCUGUAAAAGGUGUGAGACGGCAGAGGAAACAAUAAAUCAUGUUUUAUUUGAAUGUUCUCAUUCUAAAAAAAUAUGGGAAUUAUCCACAAUACCUAUGGUUUCAGGUUCUUUUCCUCUAAGCUCGGAAUUUUCAAAUCUAGAUUAUCUUUACUGGAGGUUACCACCUCCUCUAGAUGGGGGAGAAAGAACUAAUUGUUUUGCUUGGAUUUUGUGGUUCAUAUGGAAAGACAGGAAUAAAAAAGUUUUCAAAGGAAUUCAAUCUGAUCCCACAGAUAUUUUAAAUCACGCUUUGAACGAAAAAUUAAUGUGGGAAGAUGCUCAAUUGGAACCGAUCGAAACUAGUAUUGAUACGGAAAUUUUGGAAAGCCCUAUCCAAUCUAUAAGAUGUCGGAUUGAUGGCUCUUGGAAAUCUUCGGAUCCAACUAUGGGUAUAGGAUGGUGGUGUUUUCAAGGAAAUGAUCAAACGAUACUACUUGGUGCAAAGUGCCUCCGGAGAUCCCCCUCCCCCCUUCACUCGGAGAUGGAAGCGUUAAUUUGGGCCAUGAAGAAUGUCUUUUCAAGAAGGAUUGAUUGUCAGGCGUUUGAAACAGAUUGUUCAGAGUUAGUCUCGAUGGUACAAUCACCUGAAAAAUGGCCCGCUUUCUCUAAUCUGCUAGAUGCUUUUGGACUGCUCCGUGACUCUUUCCCCUUAUUCUCGCUUUCUCUUAUACCUCGUUUAUGUAAUGUUAAGGCGGACUGCUUAGCCCGUUCUUCUAGACUUUUAUUUUCCGAAGUUACUUUUGUAAACACUACUCCUCCUAAUUGGGCAACCAAUCAAGGUGUUAUUUAAUAAUUAAUGUGUGGUUGACAAAAAAAAAAAAAAAAUUCAAUUAAUAAUAUAUUAUUAUAGUUAAAAAAAUAAAAAUAUCCAGCAGAGAUACACUACUCAUUAAAGUAUUAUAAAAGAAUGAAAGUCUAUAUAUAUGCUUAUGACGCAAUUUCUUACAAUAUCUGUAAUUGGAGACUCAAACAUCUCUGACGGUUGAUUAAUUUUUUUUCUCUCUCUCGCUUCUACCUGUUCGCCCUAGCCGUCAAAGCCAUUUUCUUCCUCUCUUGGCCGGCGAUUGGUGGCUUCCAUAGCACGGUCGCCCGUCCCGUUCACCGUAGUUUCAGCUUCUUCUCAUUAGUUCAUCUUUGUUGUUAAUUUUGCUUCUCAAACCCUAGUUUCGCCGUCUCCUCCCAUUGUCCUUUCCUCCCUUCUUUGGUGGUUCCGACGUGGUGACUAUCAUGGAGGAUGGGUGGCGUAUUGGUGAUCUUCGUAGACGGAUCUGUUCCCCGGUGGAACUGUCUCGUUUUCUCCGAUCUGGUUAUAGAGGUCUGUGUUUUCCGAUCUGUUUCUAGUGUCUCAACAUUCAGCUCUGUUCUCGUUGGUUGGGGAAUCGGGAGUUGAUUUGUUGCAUGUUCCGGCUGGUUCCGAGGUGGAUCUGAAGAGUUCAAGUCCUGGAUUUUGUUGGCUUUGCGGUGGUGCUGUCUCUUGUGAGGCGUGUAUUUAGCCGGCGUUUCGUUUCCAUGACUUGUUUCUGAACAUCCUUUUGGUGUUGCAGCAACGGCCUCUUUGUGUGCGGAUUCUUCCUCUGUUAGUGAGUUUGGAUGACUUCUAGGGUUUGUGUUAUGCUGUGUUUUUCGAUUUGUUGUGAUUUGAAGCCUUAGGUUCAGCUUUUGGGUUGGCUUGUUUGACUCCUUGCUCUGCCUCUCUCUCUGUCCUCCUCUUGGUUUUCGGUGUGGUGAUUUGGCGAUAGGUUCUGUUUUGUGGGUUCUCCAUUCAGAUGCUAGCUUUCUACAAUGGCAUCUACUAGCUCUCUGUUGGAACCUCGUUUGGUUUCUCGGCUGAGUUCUGGACGUUGUGGUGGGUCGAUCCCUUGUCCUUCUCUUUGCGUGGCGUAACCAGUUUUUAGUCUGUAGGUGGCUUUGGCUGGGUCUACGAAGGUCCGUGUGUAAGGAUGGUUGGUCCUAUUUGGCGUUUCCCCUCUCGGAUCUCAAGGUUUUCCUUGAUCCUCCGCUUUCUCAUUCUCAUUGGCUCUAAAGUGGUGGUGGUGGUUAGGUUCUGUGUUCUGAUCUUCUUGCUUCGUCGUCUUCGUUUCUGCUGUGGAGAUGGUUGUGUGAGCUCGUUUAGUUUCCUUCUCGAGGCUCCUGUCUGUUGUCUCUCCAUGGCGUAAAACUGUUCUAUGGAAGUGUUAGUCGACUGCUUGUAGGGAAGAGUUGUCAGUGUUGUGGCUUUGGAGGCUUUAGCUAUUAUUCCUUUAGUUGUAAUCUUUGUAUCGUUAGGCUUGAUAUGUUUGUCUGCCUCUUAUGGCCUUAUGUCUCUGGGGGUUUCUAUGUACCUGCCGGCUUUGUCUCCGAAAGGUUUCCGUUCCUUAUCGGCUUUGUAUACCUUAAAAUCGCAUUCUAUCAAUGAAAUCCUUUAGACGAAAAAAAAAAAAAAAAGACUCAAACAUCUCUAAUCUUCUUUGUGCUCCCUUCAACAUUAGAGAAUUAUGACUCACCAUAAAUCUUGUUGCAUUAGGUUGAGGCUUGUCCUCAAAGAGCCUGCGUUGGUG
rnacentral:lncRNA from 1 species